rnacentral:lncRNA from 1 species
UUUGCAACCUUAGUUCAUACAAUUUAAACUAAAAAAAAAGAAUAGCCCCGUGUACAAUCCUGCAUUCAAUGCAGAGUCCAGGAAAGAGCCGUACCCCAAAAGUUGUGAUGUAGCCUACCCUAAUGCAAACAUUAGUGGUUGCUACCACGGCUCGACCCUGUGACCUAGACAACUUUACCUUUUCUCUAAAGCUCCCCUUGAUACAAUUUAAAAUCUUCCGAGUAUUAUACAAUGAAAGAGCUUAUGUCCUAUGCACGGGCGAUAAAGAAGAUUACAACAACAACAACAACAACAACGACAACAACUACCCAGUAUAGUCCCACAAAGUGGGGUCUGGGGAGGGUANNNNNNNNNNNNNNNNNNNNNNNNNNNNNNNNNNNNNNNNNNNNNNNNNNNNNNNNNNNNNNNNNNNNNNNNNNNNNNCUUACCCCUACCCGACAGGGCAGCGAGGCUGUUUCCAAUCGAUCCCCGGCUCAGUGAAGAAGGAAAGACAAAAACAAGAGCAUUAGUAAUUCCAGCAGAAAUAGCGUAAAUAAUUAUCUAAACAUAAGAAACAUAAAUCUCUAUGAUAAGCAUUAAUUAGCGGCCGGUGUAUAUAAAUCACAUGAACUCUAACUAAUUAAUUGUUGUUUAUUAAGAUCAUUCAUGGAUCAAGGAGGAUGGAGAAGCACCAGAUACACCAUUGGACAAUGCUGUAUUACAUAGGCUCAAACAAUUCAGAGCUAUGAACAAGUUUAAGAAAGUUGCUCUUCGGGUAAUUUUUACACUUCCAAUAUAGUUUAACUUAUCGCAGUAGGUUGUCUGUCUUAUUUUUUAGUUUAUUAGUCCUACAAAUUACGAACAAUUACAUUGAAAUAACCUAAUAGUAUAAAAAUUAUUCUACCUUGCGGUAUAUAAAAGUUAAACUCUGGCGAGUUUUAAGGUCAAUAUACCUCCUCGUGAUUAACUUUUAGCGUCGAAGCUUAUAACGAUAGGUGGCCAUCAAUUUUUUCUUGUCAUUAUUAACCUUUAGGGACCAGAAUUCCAUUUUUCCGGCCACUAAUAGCCUUUUUUUUUUUAAUAAAUGAAGCAAAAAUAUUGUUAUGGAUUUGAAAAAACAUUAAUUUCAUGUUAAUUAAGUAAUAACACAUUCAAAGGUAUACAAAAGCUCACUACUUUAAAUUGGGGAGAUUUUCAGGUUAUUGCAGGGUGUCUAUCAGAGGAAGAAAUUAUGGGAUUGAAGCAAAUGUUCAAAAGUAUGGAUGCUGAUAACAGUGGAUCAAUAACAAUCGAGGAAUUAAAGCAAGGAUUAGCCAAACAAGGAACUAAACUAUCAGAUUCUGAGAUCAAACAGUUAAUGGAAGCUGUAAGUUCUUCAAUUUUUUUUUUUUAAUAAUCAUGGUGUCCAGUUCAAUUUACAUGCACCUCAACUAAUUUUACGGAACACUUACUACCUCCCGCGAGCAAUUCUACAAGCUUAAUUUUCAAUCAAUUUUUCUCGACAAAUUUCACAAGCACAAACUCCGCUUUUUAUCAGUGGAAAAUUCUUUCGCAAAAUAAACCAUCCUUUUUUCUUUUUUCAGUAAAGAAAAAUAAGCCAUAUUUUAGACCCAAAUUAACCUUGUAUAAUUUGUAUUUUUCCAAAUUCAGGGCGUAUUCAUUUUUUAUUUGAGAUAAAAGGAAAGUUUCCUAAGUAUAGGAAUGAAUAGAGAUGAUACAUUCCCAACCUCAAUUAUCUUCAAUAGUGAAUUUAUCAAAUGUGUUUCUUUCCAAAUUGGAAAUCCAAAUCUAUUAUACAAUGACAUAACAUUUUGAAGAAUUAACCCAAAUAUCCUUCCACCAAAUUGCUUAAACUAAAAAUAGCAGGCGAAUAUAUAUAUAUAUAGAGAGAGUAUGUAUAAAUUGUAUGUUAAUAUAUAUAAUUAAUAUAUAAGUUAUAUAUACCGGCUAGAACAAUAAAUAAUAAAUCUGACCGGCUAUCUAUAAUAAACUUUUUGCUGACAUGAUGAAAGGCGUAGUAGGUAAAAAGGCAAUUGAUUGCUUUAUUUCUUCCUCGGGUAGGUUGUUUUUGGAAGUUUAUUUGCAAUGCUAAUUACUAUUUUUUAUUUAUAUAUUGGGGAAAUUUAGGCUGAUGCUGAUGGAAAUGGGACCAUAGAUUAUGAAGAAUUCAUCACAGCAACAAUGCACAUGAACAGAAUGGAUAAAGAAGAACAUCUUUACACUGCAUUCCAAUAUUUUGAUAAGGAUCACAGCGGGUAAGUUCCCUGAUAUGAUAUUUAUCUGGAAAAAAAAGGAGGACAAACCAAAAUAAAAGAGAAAUAAAAUAACAACAACAACAACAACUACCCAGUAUAGUCCCACAAAGUGGGGUCUGGGGAGGGUAAUAUGUAGACGAGCCUUACCCCUACCCGAAAGGGCAGAGAAAUAAAAUGAAAACCUGAUAAUUAAGUGGGGAUAAUAAAAUAAAUGACUAACAUUCCUCCUUUUCUUUUUUACUUUAUAUUUUCCCUAGAUUAUGUUUUAAUGUUGCUGUGGAUAGUAUUCCACCUUACUUAAUAUAUGCUUGUUAUUUUUUCUUCAGAUAUAUAUCAAGAGAAGAGCUAGAGCAAGCUCUACGAGAAUUUGGUAUGAAUGACGAAAAUGAUUUGAGGGAAAUCAUUAAUGAAGUUGACACUGAUAAUGUAAGUCAAAACAACUAAAUAUACACAUGACGAUACACAUUCAUUCAUGCAUAUAUACAUAUAAAUUUUGUGAAAUUGGAAAAUAUUAUAAAAUAACCCUUCAUAUAAAAAAUUUGGUAAAGAUUUAUCCAUACCAGUAGUAUCAGUGUAAGUCUUGUAUUUUCUUAUUUUUAAAUUUCUAGAACUAUGCAUAUUGCUACUGCUUCUUUUUUCAUCUUUCCUUGAACCGAGCGUCUACCAGAAACAACCUCCCCAGACCCCACUAGUGAGAUUACACUAAAUUUAUUUGGUAUUGUUGUAAUUUGGUAAAUAUUUGUGUUAACGAGUGGUGUCAACUGAGUUAAUAUUUGCUACUGCUUCUUUUUUCAUCUUUCCUUGAACCAGGGAUAUACCGCAAAUAGCCUCUCUACCUUCUCAAGGUAGGGGUAAAGUCCGCGUACAUACUACCCUCACCAGACCCCACUUUGAAAUUACACUGAGUUUAUUGAUAUUGUUGUAAUUAGUUAAUCCGUUUCCAUUAUUUAUGGUUCCUUUUUUUUUUCUUCUGAAUAUAUAAAAAGUUUAAGCAAUCAAUAUUUUUUGGUUUUUGCAGGAUGGUCGGAUAAAUUAUGAUGAGUUUGUAGCAAUGAUGAAGAAAGGAAAUCCUGAAGCAGCAACAAUGAACCCAAAGAAAAGAAGGGAUUCAUUUGUUGCAUAAAUUUUGAUCAUCAAUUAAUGAAAAAUGUCUCAAAAGAAUGGACAAUUAUGUUAAUUGUCUUUGUUGUAGAGAAGACCAAACUAUUACAUAGUAAAACUUUCAAGAACCAUUCAUGAGACAUUGUGUAUUAACUAUGAUACUAAAAAGAAAAAAAAUACACACACACACACAUUUACAAAGAAUAGAUUGUAAAAGUCAUGGCUAUGUUGAGAUUUGAGGGAUUUGAGGGUUAAUAGGAUCUUCUAAUGCCAAACAUAGUUUGGUUAAAGCUUUGAUCUGAAAAGAAUGGAGGUCUUUCAGAAGUAUAUGUGUAUCAAUAAUUCUGCAAUUUAGAAAGUAGGUUUUUAAAAGUUCACUUCAAUCCGUUACCUUUCGGAUAUUGUUCGGUAUAAACAUCAUAUUCAUUCACUCCAAUUGUGUUUGUUAGUACUUCGUUUUAUACCUAAACUCUAGAGUUGUAAAAAUGUGCAAAUAAAUUAACACGCGGGAAAAAUAUAUUUUCCUGUAACAACAGUGUCUGAGCCAUGCUUAACUUUGUCCACGAAACAUGGUUUCUCCCCUCAACACAGAAACAUGCUUAACUUUGUCCACGAAAGCUUAAGCAAAUGAGAAGAAAGUACCUACCAUUUUCUUUCCCUCACUGUUGGAAAUUGAAUUCUGGACUCCCAUAGUUUUCCCUCAUUUCAUUGAUGCUCGGCCGCACUCUUGGCUGCCAGAAGAAGAAAAUAUAUUUUAGACAAUUUCUUGUCUGUUUUUCAUUGCAAAUGAACAAAAUAAUUCAUUAAACUUAUAGCCUACUUUGAGAGACAACACAACAAGGUAACAAAACUAGAAAACUAUAGUUGACCACUGCCUGCUAAAAAUACAACUUAUUAUCCCCAUUGCCCGUGCUGCUAGGAAUCCCCAGCUUACCCACUGCGAUUCUUCGAACUCGAAGUUUGUAGGUUGCAACUGAAAGUGGCUCCUCACUAAGCCAACCCUUUUUCUCCUUUUUUUGGUAAAAGUGAUUUUUGGAACAGUUUGCGUGCAUCUCGAUGGAUUCACCGGAUACGUGCAACCUCCGACCAGCACAAGUACUGAGUAACUCUGUCGAUAUCGCACUUCUAUCAAGCAUUCUUAGUUAUUAAAAUCUUCAAUUCAUUUGUUUAAUUCAGCUAUAGUGCUCAAAGAAUAUGUAGCAGACAUUAUAUGUGUACAAAGUCAAACUAUUCAUAAAAUCGUACCAAGCUUACCCAACUUUCCAUACAAAAAAAAAAAUUCUAUCUUUACAUCAGAUGUAAAAUGAAACGAGAAGGGGGUUACUUUAUGCACCCAAGAGUAUAGCCUAGUGGUCAAUAAAGUGCGUUGAGCUAUAAGGUCCCAGGUUCAAAUCUCAGCAAAGGUAAAAGUAUUAGGCGAUUUUUUCAUUUAUCAAAGCCUUGACAGAUAGAGUUACCUGGUUACCUGUUGCUAGUGGGAGACAACAGGUAUAUCGUGGAAUUGGUCGAGGUACGCACAAGUUGGCCCAGACACCAUGGUUAUCAUAAAAAAAAAAGGGGUGGGUGGGGGUAGGGGGCUACUUUAUAUUCCUUAAGCUCUGCUCAGUCCCUUAAGAAAUCCUAUUUUCAAACUCAGCCUCAAGCUUUCCUCAUAUUCCGAAUUCCCAACCAUUCAAAGUUCAAAAUCUUUUUUUUUCCUCAAUUAUCAUCAAUUUCGGCAUGCAGGACAUUUCUAACCGGUUGUUGACAGAGUUAUCUAGAUGGAUGUUCAAAAUCUAAAGGUAAUGAAUAACGUGAGCUUUAGUGUAAGCUCAAAACUCCACUUUCACGCAGAUAUUCAAGGAAGCUAAAGAAUAACUUCUUGUGCAAUAAGAACCUCACCUGUGAAAUUCAUCCCCUUGAAGUUAAUUUACUUUGAUUAUCAUUCGAUGACAUGCAAAUUCAUCGCUGAUGCCAUGUGAUCCUCGCAAAAUUGGACUUGCUGGCUGCAAAUUCAUUCCCUUGAAGUUGAUUUACAUUGAAUAUCGUUCGAUGACGUGCAAUUUCAUUGUUGAUGUCAUGUGAUCCUCCACUUUCAACAUUGGUUGCUGGCUACAAAUUCAUCCCAUUGGAGUUGAUUAGACUGCUUCAAUUAUAAGGGGAUGACUAAUGAGCAACUUCUUGAUUGGCACGAUAUAACCUGAAAUGUCAUUAUUUCUGGACUUAGCUAGGCAGGUGAUUAUGUGAGGGCAAUGCAUAAUACAAAAAUAUAAGAACUUCUGAUUCACCAGUCUUUGCUCAGGUCUCUUAGAUAUGUAAAACACUGGAGCAAGUAACAAUAAGGAAUGAAUAAAAAUAUCAAGUAUGACACAAUCCCUGUUAUAAUUGCAAAUACAUAACAGCAAUCACAUGCACAAUUCAAUUAGCCAGCUCGCAGAACUUCUAGAAAAGGACAUUUUUAGUUGUUUUUUUGUGCUUAAAGCAAUUGUUAUUAUUUAGUAGGAUUUUAAAAGUUACAGAAUUUAUUUCCCAGUUAAUUCUAAAUCAUAAUUUUGAGUAUUUAAGUUUGAGCUAAGGAAAUUCAAUAUUUUUUCUAAUCCAGGGAAAAAAAUGUAUAAUUCCGAGUUGCAACCCUAACUGAGGACAAUGCCUGAGGUGUUGAGGAAGUAAUGGACUUUCUUCCUCUAUUCCGUUGUCAGUUGACCUUGUCAACAACCUUGCCAUCUUCAAAGCACCUUUUGACUUAGAUAACCUUCAAUCAUAUCAAUCAUAAAACCUCCUUCGCCAAUGAACUUUAGCUAUGAAAUAUGAAUCCUAAACUGUUCAAACCUACUCCAAUCACCCUGCCACUCGUAGACUACAGAUACCAGAAAGCAUAUGAAGGAACGCACAUGUCAUAAGUGUGACAACAGGGGAGGGAGACUGUAUCAACCCGACCCCUCGUUUCAGUAUUUGUGUUCCAAUUCAUGUUUGAAACAUUACAUAAGUUGGUAUUUUGUUUUGGGCCUUGUUGGUAUAGUUCGGGUUGAGAUCCAAGGGGCUUGUGGUGGUAUCGGACUACUUGAACCAUUUUUGUUGUUGCUGAAAUUUUUGUGUCUGGUGCAUUACUAUCAAUCAAUGAGGCAAGUUGAGUUGGCUAGACGAGGAGACUUUGCUCACCGCGAUCGCGACCAACUCACCAUGAACGCGGUAGUCAACUAUAUUGACUCUCCACAAAUGUGGAGCCAUGACCACAAUCAUGAUGAGUUAGCGGGAAGUUGAAUGAAGGGUUAAAUGAUCUUCGUGAUCGCGAAGGGUAGACCGCAAACGCGAUAAUCUAGGGUGAGCCUGGACCGCGAUUAUGAUAGGUGGUUCGCAAUUGCAAUUAGGGAAAUUGCCUGAGCAUAAAUAUCCGCUAUAAUGAAAUCAGAAUGGAUUUUCUUCCAUUUUUGGCACAGAGGAAUUCGUGGAUGAUUUCUUUCCCGAGUGAAAUCGACCCAAAUCAUAGAGGUCACAGUUCCUUAAAACUAUCUGAUGAUUAAACUUGAACCUGGUUGAAUUCUAACCAUAAAAACAUGAGAUUCAAGAGGGGAAUUGGGGUUUCUAGACACUAGAUACACUCCUAUACUAUGUACUAACUAAAGCAAAUUUAAAAACUAAAGCACUAAGAAAAACACUAUAUUAGCUAUUUGAAAGACAUUGAAAUAAGCAUAAAUUAAAAAAAAAGGAAGCCUCAAAUAUGUGCAGAAGCAGAGUAACUAACACAAAGAAAUAAAACUCAAAGAUGUGCAGAAACAGCAUAAUGCAGGUAGGGAAUCAAGAUAGUAAAAAUUGCAGAAUACAUCAGCAAAAGGCAAAACUUAAGCACAUGAAAAGUAACGAAGUCUGCUUUCGGCAGAACUCCCAGGGGAAGUAGCAGAAUCCAGAUUCCAGAAAGACUGAUUAUGUGAAUAAAUUCUGUGAAAAGCAGAACAGUUUUGUGAAAUGCACAAUUGAUUGAGUCCAGGUUUAUCCAUUAUAAAGGCAUAGGACUUGACUUGAUUCCAUUCAUUUUGUUUCAAAAUCAGCUUAGACAAGCACAAAAGAGCUCGACCUGGUCAAGAACGAAUAUUCAAAGACAACGGAGCAAUUUUCGGCCAUUAUAUUAGCACAAUGAUUCACUCAAGAUUCAUUCACAACAAAAGCACCACACCAGCAAGAAGUUCGAAACAUACACACCCAAAUUCAAGCCCCAAGUAUGUCGAUUUCAUAACUAAGUUCAUGUAAUGCAACAAUAUCUCAACAAAGAAGUAACAAUCUCAAUCAUUCAAGUGAAAAAAUCUUAGAUAGUCUAAAUUGAAACCCUUCAAGACUCGUAGAAUUUAUACAAGAUUUACCGCAAGAAACUCAGCCAACUUAGGUGAGAAACAUACCUGGUAAUUCGACAAGAAUGAGAGAAUUAAGGUUAUGGUUCGAGGACUCUUGCUGUGAAAGGAACGUUAAUGUAAAGGGGAAGAAGGCGAAACAUUGAAAUUCGAUGAUGGAGGGAAAGAAAGCUCUCUCAACAGCUGCCAGAAGCAUGUGAGAUUAUAUUACUGAGCAGAAUCUAACUGAAGCUUGGGAUACCCUUGUGAAGCUUCAUCAACAAUUCACUACAGGGAAUGCUAAAUCCUUGUGAGGCGUUCUGUGAAAAUUUUGGCAACAGUUCCUCCACAUUAAUAUCUUCAGAAAAAUUACAAAGACAUUCCAAGAUAGUUGAAGUAAUUCUCGAGUCUAGCUCAAUACCCUUAGCAGCCAUUUUGUGAAGCAAAUCAACAAUUUCUCCUGUUUGACCAUUCAAACUAAAACCCUUGAGUAAACAAUCAUACACAGUAAUGUCUGUCAAGCCAGAAGCAUCCAUUAUCUCAAAUAACUUUUUCGGAGUAAACAAUCAUAUACACUAAUGUCUGUCAAGCCAGAAGCAUCCAUUAUCUCAAAUAAUUUUUUCGCCUCCUCCAAUUGUCCUAGCUUCGAAAACCUAUUUAUUAAUAUGGAGAAAGUGAAUACAUCGGGAUUCAAACCCCUCUUAUUCAUACCAAUAAGCAACUCCUUAGCUGAUUGCAAAUUUCCUGCUUCGAGAGUCGAACGAAUGAUAAUAUUAUACGAGACUAUAUCAGGUUCACAAUUUGCAUCUAACAUCUCUUUAAACAACCCCGUCGCUUGCUCCAAGCUACCCUCUUUGCACAAGGCAUCCAUCAAUGAGUUGUAGUCAAAAGCAGUCGGAUGAUAUCCGUUCUUUCUAAAUCUAAGAAACAAUCCUUUUGCAAUAUUGAGCACAUUUAGCUUGCAAAAUCCAUCAAUUAUAGUGUUACAGGUUAUUGAAUCGGGAAUAAAAUUCAAUUGAUUUAGCUGCUUCCAGAGUUCCAAAGCUUUGACAACAUUGUUUGCCUCUAAGAAAGCUCCAAUAAGUACAGUAAAGGUUCCAAUAUCAGCUAGACUCUUGUUCUCAACCAUCUUGUUAUGAAUUUUUGCAGCCUUAUCGAGCUGGCCAUCUCGGCAAAGUCCGUGUAUCAGUACGUUCAUUGUAAUAAGAUUCGGUUGAACAUAAGUCUCGUCACCCAACAUCGAUUCGAAAAGUGUCAUUGCAUCAUCCACUUUCCCACUUUCACAAAGUCCUUUUAGUAGUGUAUUGUAAGUGACCAAGUCGGGUGUCUUGCCUUUCGCAAUCAUCACCUUUAAAAUGUGAAAAGCAUCAGCCAAUGACCCUUCCUUGCAUAGUGCACUAAGAAGAAUAUUGUAAGUUAUAUUUCCCGGCUCUUCACCCCUAUCAAGAAUCAAAUUGAACAAUUUCAUUGCUUUUUUAGCCCUCCCGAUAGUGCAGAGGGCACUAAUCAUACCCGCAAACAUAAAACUGUCGGGCUGGAUUCCCCUGUUCACCAUAUCAUCAUACAACAUUGUACUUUCUUUCAAUUUGCCCUGCUUACAAAAUCCAUUAAUUAAGCACGAAUAAGUGACUACGCUCGGAGAAAUUCCUUUCUCCAACAUCUUAUUCAAAAGUGCUUUCCCUCUACUAACAUACCCUUUGUUGCAAAGCCCAUUUAUAAGUGUAGUAUACACGACAACAUCAGCUUCCAAACCCUUCGUUCUCAUCUCUUCCAACAACUCCAUCGCAUCGUCCAACCUACCCUUGGAACAAAGACCCUCCAUCAAAAUGCUAUAAGUAUACGAGUUCGGACCACAACUCACCACAUUUUCCAUACUAAACCUCAAAUCCAGAGCCUCCUCUAUUUUCUUCUCUUUGCAAAGUCCUCUCAUGAGGGUGUUUAAACUAACCACAUCGGGAGUUACCUCUUUCUUAUCCAAACUACAAGUAAACUCAAUAGCCUUAACAACCAUACCAUUUUCACAUAAACCCUUCAAUAUAACAUUUACAAUAUACACAUUAACCUUAUAACCAUUCUUGAAAAUCAACGCCAAUACACCAAUUGCCAAUCUUGGGUUUUGAACAUACACAAAACAUUCAAUCAAAGAAGCUAAUGAUAAAAACCAAGGCAAGACUUGAACUUUUCUCAUUUGAUGGUACGCCAUUAAAGCAAGAUUGUACUCCUUAUUCUUAGCAAAAGUUACAACAAGAAAAUUACAAGUUGACUCGGAUGGGAUUUGACCCAAAUCAAGAUUUUGGUUAAAAAGAGAAAAUGCAUUAACUAAUUGGGGUUUUUUAGGGUUCUCACAAAGGGACCUUAUUUGGGUAUCCAAAUUUUGUUUAUCUGAUGACUGAAGUGUAGCUGCUGCUGAAAAGUGUUUGAUAAAAAAUCGAUUUUGGGUAUUAAAGGGUUCUUGAAAAUAAAUGAAGAGAUUCGUUAAUUGCUUUCUAGUCAUCAUUCUGAACUGAACAUAGAGAUAUGUAGCUGAGGUGGUGAUUAAAACCAAGAAAGGUGGCAAUUAUGUUGUGUAAAUUGGAUUUGUGAGAGAAGGUGUGAAGGGUAAUACUUUAAACCUAGAACGAGGGUCGAAAAUCACCUGUGACGCCACCGCUUAUGGCUUCUGCAGUGGUCAGAAAGGCUUGAGUGAGAGCUUGAGGUUGAACUAGAACUUCAGCGAGAGCUUGAAACAGAACUUUUGUAUGUAAGCAGCAAAUUUUGUAAAGUAGAAAACAUUUUGUAAGAAGCACUUUUUAAUGGAUUUCAGCAGGAAUUUAAAUUAGUUGAAUUAAUAAAUUUCAGAUUUUUUGAUUGCUAAAGUAGACGAAAAGAAAUUAAAGAGUAUGUUAUAAGUGAAUUUUGUUAAGAAUAGAAUUGUACCUAAUGUUUAUAUUUCAGAGAGUUUGUUAUUUUGUGGCUAAGUCAUUAUACCUCAUUAUAAGUUAUCUCAAAAUACAAUAAAAAUUAUUUCUCUGUAACACUCCGUAAAUUCGACUUAGGUAUAAAUGAGUUAAAUGAGUAGUAACUUUAUAUUUUGGACAUAUAAAAUUCUUGGGGAUGAUUAUAGGUGAAAAUAGUUAUUUCAAAAUUAAGAUGGAACGCGAGGUGCAUAAGAUUCAACAAAGUCGACUAAGUUUGUAGAAGGUCUAUCUGGUUUAGUGAAAAUAUAUAAUGAAUUCAGAAAAACUCAAAGCAUGGAAGUUGUAGGCCUUUGAAAAAGCUUUCCAACAAUAUAUUAUGGAGCUCGAACGGAUCUCUGUGCAAAAAAUUAUGCGCAUUUUACAUAACAGUAUGCGAUAUGCGCGUUCCGUAUCACGCCCAUAGCGUGACCGCACUAAUUUUGAGGCAGUGUUAACGUCGUUUUGCGCGGUCAGUAGCGCGUCCAGGUCUCCAGGAGCACGGGCGCGUUCGUGGNNNNNNNNNNNGGGGGGGGGGGGGGGGCGUUUUAAAGUCAUAUUUCAUCCCCAUAGCCCCAAAACAUAAAAACUUACUUUACAAAGGGGAACUAUCAAAAACUUAACUCCUUAAGGGUCCUUCCACCACCCAAGGUAAGUUCUAAUGGUGAUUCUAAGUUAAUUUUAAUUCCCUAACAUCUUAUUAAUAUGGGUAAACCCACCAUAUCAUUAGAUAUUCGAUUGAGACAUCGUUGUUGAGAGAAGGAACCCUAGAAAUCAAAUUCAAGGGGAUUGAACUUCAAAAAGGUAAUGUCUUCGCCCUCUAAUUGAUUCUAGCAUUGGAUUGAUGAUUAUAGACUCUAGUUCAUGAUAUGAUUUGAUUUGUUUGAUAGAAAAGUAUGAACAGUUAUAGGUUUGGGGUAUUGAUUGUUGAUUAUUGGUUAAGGGUGUCGUUUACCUUAUGCUGAUAAAGAAUGAUGUUGAUUAUAACAUUUGAGACUUUUUAAUUUAUCUAGGAGCAACAUAGUGGGUUAUUGGGUGUAGAGACAUUAUUAAUAAGGACUAUGAAGCUUUAUGUCAUCAAGUAUUUGAGAAAAUGCUUAAGUGACCAAAACAUAAGAAUUAUUGCUAAUAUGGAAUCCAUUUGACUUGUAUUGAUAUAGAUUAAAGUUAAACAAGUUGGCGAAUGUUGUAUUACACUCAAGAGCAGGAAGUUAAGGUAUGUGAGGCUAUGUUUGGGAAUUUUAAUGAUUCUCCCAACACUACGUUCGUUUACGACGUUACCAAUUGCCUCAGAAAUAUAGUUAAGCUUAGUUCCUUGAAUAGUUGUAGAACUUCUAUUCUCUAGCUUCAUAACUUGUUCAUGACUUUCAUUCUGAACGUCGUGAGCUUAGUUCUUAUUCAAUAUAGACUUGGGCUUGAUGUCCCUAAGUCUCAGAAUUGCUUACUCAGUAUGUCAUAAACAAUUGAAAUUUCAGUGUUCAUAACUAGUUCAAGAAUACAUGUCUCAUUCUAGUCUUAUUCAGUAUUCCAGUAUUGUGUAACUCAGUAUGAUUCAAUAUUCCAGUAUAAUGUAACUCAGUGUGAUCUAGUAUUCCAGUAUCAUGUAACUCAGCGUGAUCGUUGUGAGCUCAAUGCGUACUCGAUAUAGACUUCGGUUUGAUGCCCCUGAGUCUUAGUAUAGAUUACUCAGUAUGCCAUAAUCAGUUCAAGAAUACAUGUCUUAGUCUAGUCCAAUUCAGUAUUCUAAUAUUAUGUAACUCAGUGUGAUUCAGUAUUCUAGUUUAUGUAACUCAGGGUGAUCCAGUAUUUCAGUAUUAUGUAACUCAGUGUAAUCCAGUAUUCUAGUAUUAUGUAACUUAGAGUGAUAGUAUUCCAGUAUCAUAUAACUCAGCGUGAUUCAAAUUUCAGUAUUAUGUAUUGCAGUAUGAUUCUCAGUUCCUAAAUAUUGAACACCUGUAUUUGGGCCUGAGGCCGCUGUUUAUGCUUUAUGCAUCUUUGGGCCCGAGGCCGCAGUUUAUGCUUUAUGCAUCUUUGGGCAUGAGGCCGCAGUUUAUGCUUUAUGUAUUUUGGACCUAAGGUUGCAGUUAUUUUUUUUUCAAUUAAUAGGCUGUUUGGGCCAUUAUGUAAUUCCAGCCCAAAACCUCUCCUCAAAUCCGGCAAAAAUUGCCCAAAUUCACCCUUUUACCCGGUGCAAUCCGCCAGUCCCCUAGACCACUCAAACGACGUAGUAUCAUGCCAAUACUAUAUCAUUUUGAGAUCUUCAGGCUUUGAUCAAUCUCGUCCGUCCUUUUGUUAUCAUCCAACAGUCCCUAUUAGUUCAAAGCAUUAAAUAAAGCUGUCUAAAAAACCCCUAAAGACAAACUCCUCUCUUCCUCGUACCUGUUGUCUCUCGCCGGCUCCGCCUUACGCCGUCGCCAGAAAUCGCCUCAUGGCGGCAGCCGGUCUCCAAACCCGCCCAAAUUUACAUCCUCGAAUCCCCCCUCCUCCUCUUUCCAACACCCCAAAUAACAGCCUUCGAGUCCUAGCCCAACUCGUCGGAUAUCCAAAAAUAGCGACGCCUCCUCCGGCCCCCAUGGCGGCGCCACCACCCAAACACCACCCAAAUAACACCAUAAGUCCCCUAGUCAUCCUUACCAUAAAUCCACCAUCAUCUCCCUUCAAACAAUGCAUAAACCCUUAAAAGGGAUGACCAAAAUCCCACCGCCUCUGAAUCACUUCAAACCAACACCGGUGGCCCCCUGAUCGUCCCUCACUCCAAAUCCUCUUCCACUGUCCCUGGAAUACCACACAACUGCCCAAAUAUCUAUCUAGGGUUUUCAAAAAUUUCAACACAAUACAUGAAGGACCUUAUUUGGAUUCAAGCUUCGAGGUGGAACUCUAAGCUAAGUACCCCAUUCACUCUUUAAUUUCCGUCUCUUUUAUAUCAUUUCUGUAUAUUUGGUUGCUAGUGUUUGAUUCCAGGGUUUAGGUUAGGUUUUAUUUUGUUUUUAAUUAAGUGUAUUAGUCGUCUUGUUAAUUGGGCUUUCAUGUCAAGUCCUAUUGGGUCGAAGGUUCAUAAGUUAAAUAAAUUUGCCAGUCUUCUUGGUUUGGAAUUGAGCUUCAUGAUUUUUGUCAAGUUACAGAGUCUUGUUGUUAAAUUGCGACUAGUUUGAAUCAAUUUCUCUUUGUGCUUAAUUAGUUGUGCCUGGAUUCAUCGCCUACUUAUUUCCUUAAGGUUUUAGGUUUGAGAGUACUAAUUGUAGCAUGUUCCAUUUGGUUUAAUUGGUUUCUCUGUUUGAUUAAUGAUCCAUAGUAGUAGCAAUUUGGGUUGGGGUUUCAUGCAUUAGGUUCAGAUUCAAUUUGGGCUGUUUUUGAGUUAAUACAGCUCAUGGUCAUACCCGUUUGGGCCAUUUAGUUUAAUUUCAGGAGGUUGGUUCAUUAAAGUAUUUUUCAGAAGUCUUGAGGGUAGUUUAGGAACUCAGGCUUAAGGAAUCAUUAGUGCAACUGAUCUAAAAGCUUCUAGGUCGAUGCUUGAAUAAUAAUUUGUAAUUCUUGGUACCAUUCCUUGGAUAACAAGUCUUGAAUUGAGGGACUGAUUGGCUAAAAUGAAAAAACUAAAGGGACUAAGUGUAAAAAUGAGAGCUGAAGUUUGCCCUAGUUUACUUGCCUAUAAAGGCAUUUGUUUCUUGGCUAAAAAUGGACAAAAAACCUUCUAGAAAAAUCCUUCUGAAUUUGUCACAAGUGCAAGAGCAAAAAUACAAAAUAGAAUAUCUGAUUUUAGGGAAAACUUCUGAAAAAUUGAAAACACAAAAAUAGACAGAAAAUACUAUUCUAUUAGCAUCAACUACUUUUUGAAACUUGUCCAGUCCAAUUCCAGAUUUCAAAAGUGCAAAAAUGAUUUAAGUUGGAAUCAUUUGAAUCUAUUUUAAGGCUGCUUGGAUCCUGGUUUAUUUGAGAAAAUUCCUUUGUUUUACUUUUGGGUUUCGAGCUUAGUUUCGUUGUUGCAUCCGUUGGUUUGGAUUUGGUGCUGUUAUUGCUUCCUGUUUACAUACUCAUUGGUGUUUAUUUGCUGUAACAAGGUACACAUCGUGUAAUCUUCAAGUUGUGGACAUGAUUUAAAUUGUGGCAUGGCUUUAUUUUUGUUAUUAUCAUAUUAGAAUUCCUGUAAUUUCAUGAAGUUCAAUAGACUUGUUUGUAACUAAGACUAGACUGUUUCAAACUGUUUUGUUUUGUAUUGGACUGUUGAUAUUCAUUAGUUUAAUGAAAUUUUUUUUGGCGAUUAGUUUAACAAUGUAGGAAUUGAUUCUAGAUCCUUAUGCGUAGCUAAUAAUUGAACAUUUGAAUAAGUAUGAGUGUUCCACAAAGGCAGGCAGUGGUAUGAAUAGAUUUACAUUUGGCAAGUUACUGUUUAAAAAAUUGAAUUUGACUUGGGUUGUAUAUUCAUAAGUGCAAAAUCAGGUUUUGAGAUGUUUGGCAUGCUACUUGAUGAAUUAUUUUUAUCCAUUUAAUCAUGAUAAGUAUUGAAGUGGUAAUUUGAUUCACUUUAAUUCCCAGAAACAAUCAUAUAUGGCCAUGAUAGAGAAAACAGGAAAACUGCUUAAGUAAUUCGAGUGAUAAAUUAUAUUGCCCAGCGGAAUUGUGAUUAGAGGUUGUAUACAUUAUGCAUUGAAUUUGAAAUCAAAUAUCCCUAACACAUGCUCAUUGCUAAGUCCUGGUCAAAUGUUAGUAUAGUGUGUUUAAGAUGGAUAUGAAUAUUAAAAUGCCCACUGAUUUAAGUUUGGAUUGCUAAGUUAAUAUGAGCUACAAGUUUGAAACUAUUCAUAGUUGGAUUAUGCCCUCUGUCACACUGGGCUCAACCGCCAGGCCCAAACACUCACAUUCAGCUUCAUGGAUGGAAUCCACACUCUUUAAGCCUAACUCAUUUUUCAACGUAGCCCCAUGAGCAGCCCAAGAUCUGGGAGAUAUUUUUCAAACCAUAGUGAAUCUUAUCACUUUGAAAUUGAUUUUGAAACCCAAGAAAGUCUAGGGGUUUAACUCAUAAUUUGAAUAAUACCGAGUUUGAGCUAUGCGAUUUAGGUGGCGGAUUCAAAUUAAGAGGUUCCUCCCUUUUGUUUGAAUCCGAACUUGAACUUGAAGCCCGAAUUCAUAAUAUUAGUUAGUUAGGGUUAUUAGAGACAAAUUCAAUAGAAAAUCCCAGUGCUCUAGAUUGGCCUUUAACUAAUAAAAUGGGGUGAGCCGCGACAAAUAAAAUCCAUAAAUUGUGUGACCCUCUUUAAAUGCUUAUAUUAAAAUAAUUAGAAAUUUGGGACAUGCCGUUUAGCGAACUUCAUGGCUUCCCGCAAAGAUAAUAAUACGUUAGUCGCUUUAGGCGUGUCCUUUAAUAAUUUUACCUUCCUAAAUACGGGUGUGCAUUUCAUGUGACCCAAAUGCAAAUCCCAAAACGCUGGACAAAAUGUGUCGAUGAUCCGUAUGCAUUUCAUGUGAAGUGAUCCAAAAAUAUAUUUUAAACGACGUUCAAUUUCCUAAAAAUCAUUAAUUCAAAGUGGUAAAUAAUCCUAAAAAUGGCAAUAUAGGAUGGCAUGUAUUAAGAUCAGAUUUUUAGCCAAUUAUAAUAGUUUAAGUGAUCGUGCUAGAACCACGUGAUCCGAGGGUGUCUAACACCUUCCCUCGAGUCAACAAAAUUCCUUACUUAGAAUUUCUGGUUCGUAGACUCCAUUUGGAAAGUUGAAAAAUUUCCUCAAUUUGGGAUUCAAAACAAACCGAUGACUUGGGACACCAAAAGUCAAGCCUAUCCUAAGUGGCGACUCUAAAUAAAUAAAUGAUCCCAUUUCGAGUAAUGUCACUUAAUUUGGAAGAACGCCCUUAUAAAUUUAUCCUUCAGGGAAGCUGUGUGAAAAGCAGGUGUGACAAGUUCAAAGGGCUAGGGUUCGUUUGGCAUGGUUUAGUAAUUCAUGGGUAAGGACAUAGGUAUUAUAGGCAUUUCUCAAUAAAAGAAUCCUACAGUAACUGAAUUGGAACCGUCUAGAACCUUCUAGAUUGUGGUUUUAAUUUAAAAUUCAGGAACUUGGUAGUGUUACUUGGCCAACAAGGCAUGAAAUGAGGGGUCUAAUUAGCUAAAAACAUAAUAUAAAAGGACCAAAGGCUAAAAAACCUAAGGUCUGAGCAGAUCCAGUAACUUGCCUAUAAAGGCAUUGUUAUUGAGAGCCGAAAAGGGACCUGGAAAGGAAAAGGCAUAAAAAAUACACUGAAGAGCUCGGCGACUUCAGGCAACCAAAAACUGAAAAAUUCAUUGUUCCACUGCAACCCGUUGGUGAUUCUUAAUUCUAAAGAGCUUUUCUGAUUCAUAUAGUGCAAAAAUGGAUUGAAAUUAAGUUUGAUGGUUGGGUUUUGAAGUCCGCCCUGGUAUUUGCUCAAGUGAAUCUACCUUUUGUCAUUUUUACUUUGAUUUGUCUGAGUUGGUCUUCACUGGUGUUGCUCGACCUGAACUGCCUCCUGGACUGUUUAAUAUCAGUCCUUGGGAUUUAAAACUGAUCUGUUUGCUGCUGUUCGUUGUUGCCCAGCUGACCUCCAUUUCCUAUUCUUUUUAUUCAAUUUCAGGUACAUGUUCUGGAUCUUCAUUGAUGUAGCUUUCAAAUCUGGAAAUAAGCUGAAGUUGUGCCUGUUUUCUUAUGCUGAUAUUUAGUUUUAUUAAAUAGAUAAAUCCUUGUUGUAACUAAUUUGUACUGCUGGACUUUUUUUUAUUAGAACUAUAUGAAUAUCCUACAAAUUAUGUAGUUUAGUAUAGUUAGUUGUAGCCUUCAUUAUCACGUUAAUUCGAACUUAAAUAGGUUAUCAGUUAGAAGCUAAACCUGGAAGCAACAUGAGCCUUCCCAUUAAUAUAGAACCAGCAUCUCUUGUAGCUUAGAAAUAACUAGUCAUUUUAAUUCGUUCACCAUGUGCUAGUUAAAUUCGAAUUCAAAGUAUAUUGUAUUACUGAAUUAAAACAGUAAGAUAUUUCAGAUUUAUAAUAUAUUGCAUGUUAGUUUGGAAGUUCAUUGAGUCAAUAGCUCAGAAAUGAAAAUAUCCGGUUGUUCAUGUUUUACCUUCAAGACUGUUAAUUAAUGUGGUUCGUCCAUCUACUUGCCAUUAAAAAUAAAGUCGAGAGUGUGAGCUAUAAGUUGAAUCUUUAUUUAAUUGAUACUAAAUUUAAAAAAAGGUAAUCCGAUCCUUGAUCUUACAUUUUCAUGUUAAUGCUGAUUUUGUCUCUACUAUUGGUUGGUUGUUCCUGUUUUAGCCUCAAACCUGUUAAUUAAUGUGGUUUGUCCAUCUAAUUGCCAUUAAAAAUAAAAGUCGAGAGUGUGAGCUAUAAGUUGAAUCUCUAUUUAAUCGAUACUAAAUUUUAAAAAAAAGGGUAAUUAGGUCCUUGAUAUUACAUUUUCAUGUUAAUGCUGAUUUUGUCUCUACUCUUGGUCAUGUUACUUGGGCCCAGAUAUAAGACCUGUACCGGACGUCGGAACCAACAUACGGCCCUAAUAUCAUCAAUUUCUAAUAAAAUUUCAUUUCCAUUUUCCUUCAAUAUUUUUAGAAAAUAAUUUUACUCAAAAAUUCCUUUCUCGGGCUUGGGACCUCGGAAUUUGAUUUCGGGCAUACGCCCAAGUCCUAUAUUUUCCUACGGACCCUUCGGGACCGUCGAAUCACGGGUCUGGGUCCGUUUACCCAAAUGUUGAUUGAAGUCAAAUUUUUUCAUUUUAAUAUCAAAACUUAGCAUUCUUCAUAAAAUUUCAUAUUUAAGCUUUCCGGCUACGUGCCCCGACUGUGCACCCGAAUCGAGGCAACCCUAAAUGAGGUUUUUAAGGCCUCGAAUACACAUAUUUCAAUUAGAAACAGGUGAUGACCCUUUGGGUCGUCAUAUUCUCCACCUCUUAAACAAUCGUUCAUUCUCGAACGGACAAAAGAAGGAAGUACCUUAGUCGGGGAAUAGAUGGGGAUAACAGCUCCGCAGAUCGGACUCGGACUCCUAGGUCGAUGCCUCAGGAGGCUGACCUUUCCACUAAAAAUGAACGGAAGGGAAACUCUUGGAUCUCAACUAACGAACUUGCCAGUCUAGAAUAGCUACCGGCUCCUCCUCAUAAGACAAGUCCUUGUCCAACCGGAAAAUGCUAAAAUCUAACACGUGGGCUGGAUCGCCGUGAUUCCUCUGAAGUAUGGACACAUAAAAAACUAGUUGAUAAGCUAGGCGGCAAUGCAAGUCUAUAAACCACCUAUCUCAUUUGUCCGAGAAUCUCAAACGGGCCAAUGAACCUAGGGCUAAGCUUUCCCUUCUUCCCAGGUCUCAUCAUGCCCUUCAUAGGCGACACUCGGAGAAAUACCCGCUCACCAACCAUGAAAGCCACAUUUCAAACCAUACGAUCCUAUCCAUUUUCUUGUACUGAGCUGUACGAAGCCUAUCCUGAAUGAUCCUGACCUUUUCCAAGGCCUCUUGAACCAAUUAUGUACCCAACAACUGAGCCUCUCCCGGCUCAAAUCAUCCAACCGGAGAUCGACACCGCCUACCAUAUAAAGCCUCAUAAGGAGCCAUCUGGAUACUCGACCGGUAGUUUUUGUUGUAGUCAAACUCUGCUAAAAGCAAAAAUUGAUCCCAAGAGCCUCCAAAGUCAAUAACACAAUCCUGGAGCAUAUCCUUCAAUAUUUUAAUAGUCCGCUCAGACUGUCCAUCCGUCUAGGGAUGAAAUAUUGUGCUCAACUCAAUCUGCGUGCCCAAAUCUCGUUAAACCUCGGUCCGAAAUUGUUGUUGUAGGCAAAUUCUGCUAAAGGCAAGAACUGAUCCCAUGAACCUCCAAAGUCAAUAGCACAAGCUCGGAGAAUAUCCUCCAAUAUCUGAGUAGUCCACUCAGACUGCCCGUCCGCCUGAGGAUGAAAUGUUAUACUCAACUGCACCUGGGUGCCUAAAUAUUGAUGAACUGCUCUCCAGAAUUAUGAGGUAAACUGCGCACCUCGGUCCAAAAUGAUAGAUACCGACACACCAUGAAGGCGAACAAUUUCCCAGAUACAAAUCUCAGCUUACCUCUCAGAUAAAUCGGAGACUGCCACAUGAAUAAAAUGUGCUGACUUGGUCAGCCGAUUAACAAUGACCCAAACUACAUCGAACUUCUUCCGAGUCAACAGAAGUCUAGUAACGAAGUCCAUAGUGAUUCGCUCUCACUUCCACUCGAGAAGCUUAAUCCUCUGAAAUAAACCACCAGUCCAGUAAUAGUCCAUAGUGAUCCGCUCUCACUUCCACUCGAGAAGCUCAAUCCUCUUAAAAAAACCACCAGGCCUCUGAUGCUCAUACUUAAUCUACUGAAAAUUCAAACAUCGUGCCACAUAUGCCACAAUGUCCUUCUUCAUUCUAUGCCACCAAUAAUGUUGCCGCAAAUCCUGAUACAUCUUCGUGGUGCUCGGAUAAAUAGAGUACCGGAAACUAUGGGCCUCCUUUAAAAUCAACUCCCGAAGCCAAUCCACAUUAGUCACACAAACUCGCCCCUACAAUCGCAAGACUCCACCAGCAUCUAACACAACCUGCUUGGCACCUCCUUGCUACACCGUGUCUCUAAGGAUACCCAAAUGGGGAUCAUCAAACUGCCAAUCACGGAUACACUUCAAUAAUGAAGAAGGAGUGACUGUGCAAGCUAACACCCGACUAGGCUCAGAAAUAUCCAACCUUAAAAAUCGAUUGGCCAAAGCCCGAACAUCCAAAGCAAGUGGCCUCUAACUGACCGAAAUAUAAGAAAGACUGCCUAUACUUGCUGACUUCCUAUUCAAAGCAUCGGCCACCACAUUGGCCUUCCCCGAGUGAUAUAAGAUAGUGAUAUCAUAAUCCUUCAAAAACUCCAACCACCUCCUCUGCCUCAAAUUUAACUCUUUUUGCUUGAACAAGUACUGAAGACUCUGGUGAUUAGUGAACACCUCACAUGCCACACCAUAAUAAUAGUGCCUCCAAAUCUUCAAUACGUGAACAAUGGCUGCCAACUCCAAAUCAUGCAUUGGAUAGUUCUUCUCAUAAAUCUUUAACUGUCUCGAAGCAUAGGCAAUGACCUUGCCAUCCUGUAUCAACACUGCACCAAGCCCAAUAUGCGAAGCAUCACAAUAGACUGUAUAAGGCCCUGAACUUGUAGGCAAAACCAAUACCAGUGUCGUAGUCAGAGCUUCCUUGAGCCUCUGAAAGCUCGCCUCACACUCGUCCGACCAUCUAAACCGGGGACCCUUCUGGGUCAACCUGGUCAUUAGGGCUGCGAUAGAUGAGAACCCCUCCACGAAUCGAUGAUAGUAGGCUGCCAAUCCCAAGAAACUUCAAAUCUCUGUAGUUGAUGCCGGUCUAGGCCAGCUCUUGACAUUUUCAAUCUUUUUCGGGUCCACCUGAAUACCCUCUACCGAUACGAUAUGACCCAGAAAUGCAACUGAACCCAACCAGAACUCACACUUGGAGAACUUUGCAUAUAACUGAGUAUUCCUCAAAGUUUGAAGAACCACUCUAAAGUGCUGCUCGAGCUCCUCCUGGCUGCGGGAAUAUAUCAAUAUAUCAUCAAUAAAAACUAUCAUGAAUGAGUCCAAAUAAGGACUGAACACUCGGUUAAUCAAGUCCAUGAAAGCUGAUGGGGCAUUUGUCAACCCGAAUAACAUGACCAAGAACUAAUAAUGCCCAUACCGAGUGCGGAAAGCUAUGUUAGGGACAUAGGACGCCCUAUUCCUCAACUGAUGGUAGCUAGGUCGUAAGGCAAUCUUGGAAAAUACCCUAGCACCCUAAAGCUGGUCGAACAAAUCAUCAAUCAUCAAUUAUUACCUUGUUCAAUUGCCGGUAAUCAAUACACAUUCUCAUUGACCUAUCCUUCUUCCUGACAAAUAAUACCGGCACACCCCAAGGUGAGAAAUUGGGUCUAAUGGAACCCUUCUCAAGAAAAUCCUACAACUAUUCCUUCAACUCUUUCAACUCCGACGGGGCCAUGCGAUAUGGCGGAAUAGAAAUGGGUUGAGUGCCCGGAACCAGAUCAAUGCAGAAAUGAAUAUCGCCGUCGGGUGGCAUACCCAGCAGGUCUGAAGGAAAAACAUCAGGGAACUCACAAACAAUGGGCACAGAAUCAAUAGAGGGAACCUCAGUACUAAAAUCACAAACAUAGGCUAAAUAGGUCAAACACCCCUUCUAGACCAUAUGUUGAACCUUCACAUAUGAUAUAACACUGUGGGUAGAAUGACCAGGAGUCCAUUUCCACUCAAAAACAAGGCAUACCAGUAAAUCUAAGGUCAUAGUCUUGGCAUGAAAGUCCAAGAUAGCGUGAUAGGGUGAUAACCAGUCCAUCCUUAAUAUAAUAUCAAAGUCGACCAUAUCUAAAAGAAACAAAUCUGCACGAGUCUCCAGACCUCCAAUCACCACAGCACAAGAAUGAUGGACUCGAUCGACCACGAUUGAAUCACUCACUGGGGUAGAAACAUAGAUAGGAAUACCCAAUGCAUCACCAGGAAUGACCAAAUACGGGGAAAUAGGAUGACACAUAUGAAUACGUAGGCCCCGGAUCAAACAACACUAAAGCAUCUCUAUCACAUACCAUAACUUUACCUAUAAUAACCGCAUCUGAAUCCUCUGCCUCGGGGCUAGCCUAAAGAGCAUAACAUUAGGGUUGGUCCCUACCACUCUGAUUUACCUCCCUGGGACGGCCUGCUACUGGAUGUCCUCCACCUCUGGUGGUCUGAGCUCCACCUAUAUGACCUCUACCUCCACCGUUGGCACCCCUAUCCCCACCUUUAGCUGGCUGGGUGGGAUGUGGAACACCUUGUGCCUGAACCAUGGCAUGAAAAAUCUGAUGUUGAGAGCCACCUGGCACACGAGGGCAAUGCCUAGCAAUGUACUUCGUGUCGCCACAAGUAAAACAAGACCUCUGCUGCUAGGGCUGAAGACCCUGGAAACUAUGAAGUGGUGGUGCACGAAUAGGUGCUGGGGGUGCACUGAAGGACUGCUGAUCGAAAUAUUGCGCCUGAGGACCACAACUACUAGAAGCACCGUGAAUAACGUGGAGGGCUGACUGGAAAGGCUUAAAAGGCUGGCCCAUAUCGUAAGAAUCUCUACCUCCAGAGGACGCACCUCUGAAUCGACCUGAUUAGCGGGGUCUCUUGUCUACUCUAUGACCACCCCCUGUGAUAAUACCAUCUCAAUCCUCUGGGCCACAUUGGCCACCUCCUGAAAGGAAAACUCGCCCCCAGCCUCUCUAUCCAUCUAGAGACGAAUAGGCUGAACGAGUCCAUCAAUAAACCAUCUCAAAGGGGAAAUAAGUUAUUUCCCCUUUGAGAAAUAAGACGAGGGUGACUACUUCAUGGCACUGAGAGGGAGAGUGUACGAGGAAAAUAUAAGUCAUGGACUAUUCAUGAAAAAUAUUUAAGGAUUUAAAGAAUUUUUUUUUUCAAACUGAGGGGAAAUAAUGUAGGCUCGCCUUGUCAAAUAUUAAAAAAAUUUACGCUCUAAGAAAACAAAAUUUAUUUACAUGAUUAAUGGACUAUUCACGAAAAAAUAUUUAAGGAUUUAAAGAAAAAAAAAUUUCUUCAAAAAAAGUUUUAAGGGCCCGCCCGCCCUAGUUUGCGGCGCUCCUAGGGCUGGGUUGGAUUGGCCAUUAAGGCCCAUUCAUGUGUCAGCCAGCGCGUUCUAGCCCACAAAAUUUAAAAGCCCGCGAUCCUUGGGUCGGACUGAGCUGGGCUGGCCCAUUUUGACAGCUCUACAUUCACAAAUAAGUCAAUAUCCGGUCAACUUUUCUAAUUUAAGCUUUUAAUUAAGAGACUAAGUAUCUCAAUUCAGUUUGAAAUCUCUAUGAACCCGAACCAACUAACCCGGUAAGCCAUAUAACAAUUGUAGAAUACAAAAGGAGCAGAAAAUGUGGGAACGGGGCUAUAACUCUCAAAAUGACUGGUUGAGUCUUACAUUCUCCAUCUCUUAAACAAAUGUUCAUCCUCGAACGAGUUUAGAAACAUACGUGGAGUCAUAAAUAGUAUGUAUAUCUGCUCUGCAUCUCCCCCUCGGUCUCCCAAGUAGCCUCUUCCACAGGUUGACCUCUCCAAUGCACCUUUACUGAAGUUAUAUCCUUUGACCUCAACUUUCGAUCCUGCUGAUCUAGGUGGCCACCGACUCCACAUCAUAAGUCAAAUCACCAUCCAACAAAUCUAUGUUGAAAUCCAAAUAUGAGACGAAUCGUUGAUAUACUUCUGGAGCAUAUAAACAUGAAAUAUUGGAUGCACACUCGACAAUCUAGGUGGCAAGUCAAGCGUGUAAGCACCUCCCCAUCCUCUGAAGCACCUCAAAAGGCCCAAUAAACUGAGGGCUCAAUAUGUCCUUCUUCCCAAACCUCAUAACAUCCUUUAUGGGUGAAACCUUCAGCAGAACCUUCUCUCCAACCAUGUAAGCAACAUCGCGGACCUUCCUGUCGGCAUAACUCUUCUAUCUAGACUGCACCAUACGAAGCCGCUCAUGAAUCAAUUUAACCUUGUCCAAAGCAUCCUAAACAAAGUGAGUACCCAAUAGUCUAGUCUCACCCGGCUCAAACCAACAUGCCGGAGAUCUAUAUCGCCUCCCAUACAAAGCCAUAUAUAGAGACAUCUGAAUGCCCAACUAAUAGUUAUGUUUUAAGAAAACUCCGCGAGUGGCAAACACUGGUCCAAUGAGACCCCGAAAUCAAUGACACAAGUACGUAGCAUGUCCUCCAAUACUUGAAUAGUACGCUCGGGCUAUCCAUCUAUCUUAGGGUGAAAUGAUAUGCUCAACUCAACCUGAGUUGCCAACUCUCAUUGCACGCUAUACAAAACUGUGAUGUAAAUUGUGGGCAUCUAUCUAAAAUGAUGGAAACUGGCACAUCGUGAAGGCGAACAAUCAGCCAACCGCUCUAAAUAAUAAGUAGUACCAACUAGAAUGAAGUGUGCAGACUUGGUCAGCCGAUCCACAAUCAACCCAAAUAACGUCGAACUUCUUCGAAGUCCUAGGGAUCCCAACUACGAAAUCCAUGGUGAUCCGUUCCCACUUCCACUCUGGAGUCUCUAUCCUCUAAAGCAAUCCACCCGGUCUCUGAUGCUCAUAUUUUAACUGCUGACAUUUGAGACAUCGAACUACAAAUCCAACUAUGUCAUUCUUCAUUCUCUUCCACCAAUACUGCUACCUUAAGUCUUGAUACCUUUUCGCGACACCAGAAUGGAUGGAAUACCACGAGCUGUGGGCCUCCUCAAGAAUCAACUCCUAUAGUCCAUCUACAUUGCGCACACAUAUCCGUCUCCGCGUCUUUAACACCCAUCAUCUCCAAUAGUGAUAUCUCUGGGAUCACUAUGCUGAACCUUGUCCUCGAGGACAUGCAAAUGAGGAUAAUCAUAUUAUCGCUCUCUGAUGCGAUCAAAUAAGGAAGACCAAGAAACCACACAUGCGAGAACUCGACUUGGCUAAAUAGUAAUAUCAUAGUCUUUUAGCAGCUCCAACCAUUUAUGCUACCUCAAAUUUAUAUCCUUAUGUUUGAACAAGUGCUGGAGGCCACGAUGAUCAGUAAAUACCUCACAAGACAUACCAUAGAGAUAGUGCCUCCAAAUCUUCAACACACAAACAAUGGCAGUCAACUCCAAAUCAUGAAUAGGGUAGUUCUUCUCAUGAGGUUUUAACUACUGCGAAGCAUAAGCAAUCACUCUAUCCUCCUACAUCAAAACACACCCAACACCGAUCCGAGAAGCAACACAAUACACUAUGUAGGAACCAAAAGCUGAUGGUAGAACUAAAACUAGAGUUGUGGUCAAUAAAGUCUUGAGCUUCUGAAAGCUCUCCUCACACUCAUCCGACCACCUCAAAAAGGGCACCCUUUUAGGUCAAUUUGGUCAAGGGAGAUGCAAUAGACGAGAAACCCUGCACGAACCGACGAUAAUAACCAGCCAAACCAAGAAAGCUCCAAGUCUCCGAAGCUGAGGAUGGUCUGUGCCAACUCCGAACCGCCUCUAUCUUCUUUGGAUCCAUAUGAAUACUCUCACUAGACACCAUGUUCCCCAAGAACGCCACUAAACUGUGUCAAAACUUACACUUGGAGAACUUGGCAUAAAGUUUCUUCUCCCUCAAGCGCUGUAACAUAAUCCUCAAAUAGUGGGCAUGCUUCUUUUGGCUACGAGAGUACACUAGGAUAUCAUCAAUAAAUACAAUGACAAAUGAGUCGAGAUAAGCCUAAAAUACAUUGUUUAUCAAAUGCAUGAAGAGUGCUAGGGUGUUGGUCAGCCCAAAUGACAUCACAAGGAACUCAUAAUAACCAUAACGGGUCCUAAAAGAUAUCUUAAGAAUAUCCGAGCUUUGAAUCUUCAGCUGGUGAUACGCAGACCUCAAAUUAAUCUUGGAGAACACCCUUGGUCCCUUAAGCUAGUCAAAUAGGUCAUCAAUACACGAUAAAGAAUACUUGUUCUUGAUUGUGACUCUAUUCAACUGCCUAUAAUCAAUGUAAAUUCUCAUAGUUCCCUCUUUCUUCUUCACGAACAUAACAUGUGCACCCCAAGGUGACACACUAGGCCUAAUAAACCCCUUUUUAGGAGUUUCUGAAAUCGCUCAUUCAACUCGAUCGGCACCAUACAAUAUGGGGGAAUAGCAAUAGGCUAACUGCCCGGCACCAAGUCAAUAUCCAUGUAUAGUGGCAUACCCGAAGGUCUGUAGGAAACAUAUUUGGAAAAUCUCGCGCCACUAAAACAGAAUCAAUAGUAGGGGUAUCAGCACCAACAUCCCUUACAAAAUCCAAAUAAGAUAAACAACCCUUCCUGACUAUCUGAUGGGCCUUUAAGUAUGAAAUCCUCUAUUGGGAACAUACUCUAAAGAACCUUGCCACCCAAUCUGUGGAAACCCCGGCAUCGCCAACAUCACAGUCUUAGCGUGACAAUCCAAAAUAUCAUGACAUGGAGACAACCAAUCCAUACCCAAUAUCACGUCAAAAUCAACCAUUGUAAGAAUCAAAAGAUCAAAUCUAGUCUCAAAUUCCCUAACAGUCACUACACACAAUCCAUAAUAAUAGUAUCGCCUACCGUUGUAGAUAAAUGAACAGAUGAAGCUAAAGACUCACGAGGCAUAUCCAAAUAAUGAGAAAAAUAUGAAGAUACAUAUGAAUAGGUGGAACUAGGGUCAAAUAAUACAGAAGCAUCUCAAUGACAUACUCAACUAAUAACUGUGAUCAUUGUAUUUGAAGCAACGACAUCUGGUCUAGCAGGGAGUGCAUAGAAAUAGGCCUGAACGCCACCUGAUCAGCCUCCCUACCUAGGGCGACCCCUAGUUGACUGAGCUCCACCUUGAGCUGGCUAGGUGUGUGGUAAAGUAGCUGGUGCUGAAGUUGUAGACUGGCUCCUUUUGCUGAGCUGGACCUAUCACUACGCGGGAUAUUGCCUUCUGAUAUGACCAAACUCUCCACACUCGUAGCAGCUCCUCGUUGCUGGUGGUGGGGACUGGAGGGAGCCUAGAGCACCGAGAUAAUUGGUAAAAGGAUCUGGCAUAGAUGAGCCUUGAACCGAUGGAGCACGAGACGGACUCUGAGCUGGAAGGGCAUUGAGAGAUGAGUGAUCCUAAUGAUAAAUGUGUGAACUAUGGCCAGAUGAUGCACUAUAUUAAAUUAGAUGAGCCGUCUAAGCAUGCCUAUAGGGGCAACUCCUACCGUAGUGGAAUUGACCUCCAGAAGUAACACCAAUAAAACCAUCUGAUCCACGAGAUCUAUUGGCUUCCCUUUCAACCUGCUCCUGGCUACGGACCAUCUAUAUCUGCCGAGCAAUAUUUAACAACCUCAUUGAAAGUAGCAGCAGAUACCCUCUCUCUGGUCAUAAGUAGUUGCGACUGAAAUGUAAGGUCAUCAAUGAAUUUCCUGAUCCUCUUCCUAUCAGUGGAACCAACCAAACCGCAUGACGGUCCAACUCAGAAAAACUUAUCUCGUACUGUGUAAUAGAUACAUCAUCCUAGCGUAACUGCUCAAACUAUCUGCGCAGCUCCUCUCUGUAAGACUGCGGCAUGAACUUCUCCAAGAAGAGAAUGAAGAACUCCUGCCAAGUAAGUGGUGAUGUACUGACCAGACUAUGCCUCUCAUAAGCCUCCCACCAACUUAAGGCAACUCAUGUAAACUCAAAAGUAGUGAACGAGACCACACUAGAGUCAAACAAACCUCUCCAGCCUUCGCUGCUCAUCAUCAGUCAUAACAAGAACCACAUGGGCCUGAGAAGCAGCCAUCGGCUGGGAUGGUAGUGCCCCCGGUGUCUGGAGUCCCUCCAUAACCUACUAUGGUAUACGGGCGGCUGGAGUAUGAGUACCUGCUAUGGCUUGAGAAGUGGCUGCUGCAGGUGGAAUAGAGACUGCCUGAGCAAUACUAGUUCAUACGUGCAAAAUUUGAGCUAAGGCCUCCUGAGGCCUGGAAUCAAGAUGGGUAAAGCUAGUGAUUGAGCUGGCCCUAUAUGUUCAUCCACAACUAAGACUUUGUCACGCCCCGAACCUGGGGGUGAGACCGGCACCCGGUGCCUCACCUAUCAUUGCAUACCAGCUUGCAACUAAGGGACUCUAAACAUAUGAUGUCAUACUUUGGUCAUGGGACAUAUUGCAAGAUAACUGCGAACGCUAACUAAAUGGCAAUAUACAACUGGGCUGACAAGGCCGUCGUAACCAUUACAGAUGAUAAACCAACCAAAUAUACAUAUAAGGCGUGGAAGCCCAACAUAUUACACUAACUGACAGGAUAUGUCUACAAGCCUCUACUGAUGGGUAAAUAUACACACACACACACACACAAAUAAUGUACAUAAGGCUCUAGACCUGGAAACUCCGAAAGGAAUAGAGCUUACCGAUCAAGCUGAACUCGGGCAACACUUAUUGAAGAGGUCUACCCAUUUGUCUGUCUGACCUGUACGCAUGAAAUGCAGCGCCCCUAGAAAGGGACGUCAGUACGAAAUAAUAUACUGAGUAUGUAAGGUAAUAUAAUAAAAGCUGAAACUGAACUGAUAAUAUAAUAACUGCAAGUAGCUGGAAGUCAAAGAUAAUUUGAAGAUAUGCUUACCUACUGAUACUGACUCAACUCUUUCAAUAUAGUAAGUAAAAUAGUUGUCCGACCCUAUAAAGCUCGAUAUAUAUAUAUAUAUAUAUAUAUAUAUUCCCGUAGUAGGCUCGCUCAUAGUGCUCGACCAUACUAGGCUCUGUAUCUCGACUAACUGGGCUUGCUCAUAAGCGCUCGGCCACAGUAGGUUCAGUAUAUAUGUAACUGUUUUGCUGUAGUAGGCUCGCUCAUAGGCGCUCCACCAUACUAGGCUCUACAUCUCGACCAACUGGGUUCGCUCAUAAGCGCUCGGCCACAGUAGGCCCGGUAUAUAACCUACCAUCUGAUCAGAGGUUGCCCAAUAGGGGCCUGCCCAUCAAUUAUAACUCGAUGAUAAUGAAAAUACUUUUAAUACUAUAUAUAUGUAAAUUCUCUGCUCUCUUGACUAGGAGAAGGAAAUACUCAACUAAAUAUGAAUUCUCCAUAAGGAGAAUAUUAACUUACAAACUAGCAAAAUAUACGUAAAUUUCAGGAUAUGAAUUUUUCUUCAUGGCUCGUAAAUAAAAUCGUGUAAUGGCAAGAUCAUGCAAAGUGAAAGAAGAGCUUAACCUUAACAUACCUGGAACAGGAAAAAUUUCGUAUGAUAUUCUAAAAUAUUUGCAUGAAAGAAGAGCUUAACCUUAACAUAUCUGGAACAGGAAAAAUUUCAUAUGAUAUUCUAAAAUAUUGCAAUGUACUUCAUUAAAACAAAAAAAAUUUAACGAAAUUAAGCUUCUGUUCGUUGAAGUGUUUGAACGCUGCCUAUGUUCUUUGACGUUACAUUAUUUGAUCGAAGAAAGAAAAUGUGUUGCUUUUGCAUAAUGGAUAGUGUCGCGGGGUCGAUUUUGGCCACUUAAAUCCUGGCCGAGGUUUCGCCUCCGUGCGGCAGUCAAGCCUNNNNNNNNNNNNNNNNNNNNNNNNNNNNNNNNNNNNNNNNNNNNNNNNNNNNNNNNNNNNNNNNNNNNNNNNNNNNNNNNNNNNNNNNNNNNNNNNNNNNNNNNNNNNNNNNNNNNNNNNNNNNNNNNNNNNNNNNNNNNNNNNNNNNNNNNNNNNNNNNNNNNNNNNNNNNNNNNNNNNNNNNNNNNNNNNNNNNNNNNNNNNNNNNNNNNNNNNNNNNNNNNNNNNNNNNNNNNNNNNNNNNNNNNNNNNNNNNNNNNNNNNNNNNNNNNNNNNNNNNNNNNNNNNNNNNNNNNNNNNNNNNNNNNNNNNNNNNNNNNNNNNNNNNNNNNNNNNNNNNNNNNNNNNNNNNNNNNNNNNNNNNNNNNNNNNNNNNNNNNNNNNNNNNNNNNNNNNNNNNNNNNNNNNNNNNNNNNNNNNNNNNNNNNNNNNNNNNNNNNNNNNNNNNNNNNNNNNNNNNNNNNNNNNNNNNNNNNNNNNNNNNNNNNNNNNNNNNNNNNNNNNNNNNNNNNNNNNNNNNNNNNNNNNNNNNNNNNNNNNNNNNNNNNNNNNNNNNNNNNNNNNNNNNNNNNNNNNNNNNNNNNNNNNNNNNNNNNNNNNNNNNNNNNNNNNNNNNNNNNNNNNNNNNNNNNNNNNNNNNNNNNNNNNNNNNNNNNNNNNNNNNNNNNNNNNNNNNNNNNNNNNNNNNNNNNNNNNNNNNNNNNNNNNNNNNNNNNNNNNNNNNNNNNNNNNNNNNNNNNNNNNNNNNNNNNNNNNNNNNNNNNNNNNNNNNNNNNNNNNNNNNNNNNNNNNNNNNNNNNNNNNNNNNNNNNNNNNNNNNNNNNNNNNNNNNNNNNNNNNNNNNNNNNNNNNNNNNNNNNNNNNNNNNNNNNNNNNNNNNNNNNNNNNNNNNNNNNNNNNNNNNNNNNNNNNNNNNNNNNNNNNNNNNNNNNNNNNNNNNNNNNNNNNNNNNNNNNNNNNNNNNNNNNNNNNNNNNNNNNNNNNNNNNNNNNNNNNNNNNNNNNNNNNNNNNNNNNNNNNNNNNNNNNNNNNNNNNNNNNNNNNNNNNNNNNNNNNNNNNNNNNNNNNNNNNNNNNNNNNNNNNNNNNNNNNNNNNNNNNNNNNNNNNNNNNNNNNNNNNNNNNNNNNNNNNNNNNNNNNNNNNNNNNNNNNNNNNNNNNNNNNNNNNNNNNNNNNNNNNNNNNNNNNNNNNNNNNNNNNNNNNNNNNNNNNNNNNNNNNNNNNNNNNNNNNNNNNNNNNNNNNNNNNNNNNNNNNNNNNNNNNNNNNNNNNNNNNNNNNNNNNNNNNNNNNNNNNNNNNNNNNNNNNNNNNNNNNNNNNNNNNNNNNNNNNNNNNNNNNNNNNNNNNNNNNNNNNNNNNNNNNNNNNNNNNNNNNNNNNNNNNNNNNNNNNNNNNNNNNNNNNNNNNNNNNNNNNNNNNNNNNNNNNNNNNNNNNNNNNNNNNNNNNNNNNNNNNNNNNNNNNNNNNNNNNNNNNNNNNNNNNNNNNNNNNNNNNNNNNNNNNNNNNNNNNNNNNNNNNNNNNNNNNNNNNNNNNNNNNNNNNNNNNNNNNNNNNNNNNNNNNNNNNNNNNNNNNNNNCAUGCCAUGCCAUGCUGCCGCCCGUCCUUGCCGAUACUGCCUUGUCAAGCCCUUCCAAGCAAACCUUUGCGCGCCAAGGUCUUGGCCUUUACUUGCACAUACUAGCAUAUCGACUUACCGUCCAUUGGCGCGCAUGCCAUACCAUGCUGCCGCCCGUCCUUCGCCGACUUUCAAAGUUAGGGUCCUAACAGAUAGGUUACUCCUUUCCAAAAUGGUAAUGGAGAUAUGAUUGGUAUUUUGACUCAAAGACAUUCUGUUCUUAUCCAGAAUGAAUCAUGGAAACAAGAUAUGUACUAAGUCUUGCUUGUUUUAAUAUUUCCAUUAAAUCCUUGGCAGCCACCUACUCUUAAAUCAACAUGAAUCAUUUUCUCAAAUAGUGAACUUCUUCCACGUUUUGUUGGGGGAAAGAGAUUUAAUCUUAUCCACUUAUAAUUAAUUGGGUAAUAUUUCGUUACUCGAUAAUUAAUAUUUUAUCUAAAAAAAUGAGAAUUAUUCUCACUUACUUAAAAUAUUAUUCACUUUUCACAUACCUUAUAUAUUUUUUUAGCAUGGACAUGUAGUACCUUUCAUGUCACUAGUCCAUAAAUAUCAGAUAUUUUAGCCUGGGCUGUAUUUCACCCCAAUAUGCCAAAUUUGAAAAAUUAUUAUUUUCUUUGACUUGCUUCUCCUUUCACCUUUAUGAAUUUAUUCAUCAUUUGUGAAAUAAAAUAAUCCUUAUAAUCUCCAAAUAAUCUCUUACUUGGACUGAUGUCAAUGACCUUGCGACAAUCCAACGUACGGUACUACAGGGUGCAACAUUGCCGUAACUUAAUAUUGUAAAUCAUAACAUCACCGUAAUGUAAUACUGUUGGGUGCAACAUUGUCGUAACUUAAUACUGCGAAGCGUAAUAUUACCGUAAUGUAAUAUUGUUGGGUGCAACACUGUCAUAACCUAAUAUUACAAAGCGUAACAUCAUCGUAAUAUAUUACUGCAGCGCAUAACAUCGACGUAAUACUGUGGGGCGUAAUAUUAUUCCCCUCUUUGGAACUUUCAUUCUUGAAUGUUGAUUGAUGUACUUAUUAUUCUCAUAACUUAUAUCUUAUGAAUACUUUAGAACUUCCUUUUCCAUCUAGGCGACUGUUCUGGGUGAUUGGAUCCGAUGUGUUCUGGGUGACUUGAUGUUGUUUGAGGUGUUUUGAUGAUUGGAACAAGUUUGAAUAAGGUUUUAGGAUUUGUUGGUGGCCAUCGGUGUUUUCAUUGGUCAGCAAGAGUAGGUUUGCCGAAUUUCAAGUAAUACGUAGCCUUUGGCUGAGGUCCCAGGGACCUCGGGUGAAUUUCGGAUGGUCAAUUAGAUUAUUUGAGAGUUUAGAAUAUUUCUGAAUUUCAGUUCCAGCAGUUGCAGACAUUUUGGUCUUCGCGUUCAAGAGAGAACCCUCGCGUUCGUGAAGAGUCUACUGAGGGAGGAGAAAGUUUGGCCUUCGCGUUCGCAAAGGGUUGCGAAGUUGUGCAUCGCGUGCGUGAAAAGGCACUCACGAUUGCAUAGAGGAAGUUGGGUCAGAUGGGUUCAAGGUCAUUUGUUCAUGGCGUUAGCGUAGAUGGUUAAAGCAUCAUGUUCGCACUAGGUUUUGCGCGUUCGCAUAGAGAAAAAGUGGUUAACGCGAGUUGUGCUUGGCGAACGCGAGGGUUUGACCGCGUUCGCGAAGAAGGAAAUUGAGGCCUGGGCAGAAUAUGUUUAAGUCGUCUUGUCCACAAUUUUGGUCUUAUUUCACCCAUAACUGCUUGUUUUUGAAGAUUUUUUGAAGGAGAUUAAAGAGGGAUUCCAGGAGGAACGAUUUGAGGCAAGGUUUUCGGACUAAAAACUCGAUUAUUAUGUGAAUUCCACCUAUAAAAUCAUAGAAUUUAAGCUAAAAAUGAAAGAACUGGGGCUUGGAAUUUUGGACUUCUGAUUGGGGAUUUGGAGGACUAUUUGGGGUCAUAUUGGAGAACUUAUGGUAUGUAUGAACUCAUGGGGAGAUAAGAAACCUAUUGGUAUAAAAAUUUCUGAGUUUUGAUAAGUGGGCCCGGGGCUCGGGUUUUAGCUCAUUUCGGAAUUUAUGGUAUUUUUUGAUUGUUUUCACUUUGGCUUUAUUCCCUUAGUAUAUUUUGACGUCCUCGUUCUGAUUUUUGGAUAGAUUCGACGCGCGUGGAGGUCGAUAUGGGUGCAAAGGAGUCGCGAGCUAGAGAUUUGGCCGGUUCGAGGUGAGUAAUGAUUGUAAAUGAUGCUUUGUGGGUUUAAAACCUCGGAUUUGCACACCGUAAUUCUUUAUUAAGGUAAGACACACGCUUGAUGACGAGUGUGGGGUUGUAUACUUUUGGGGAUUGUGACUUGGUCCGUCCUGAUUGAUGAUUUUACCGCAUAUUUGACUGAAAUUUAUUUGCUAUCAUCAUGAUUUGGACUGAAUGUCAUUUUUGGGCUUCGUGCCAACUAUUUGAAUCCUUUGCGGAUUUUUAUUACUAUUUCCUCACUGUUUUGGCUUAUUACUUGAACUCAGUCAUGAUAAUUUUCAUUUUUUACUAUUCAUCCAUCUUUCUAAGUUUUUAAGAUUUAAAUGAUAUUUUAAAUGAUGUUUGGGCUGAAAAAUACUAUUUUACCAUUGCCCGAGGGGCUUCUGAUGAUUUUCAGACUGAGUAAGCCGAUGACCAAGAUGUGAGGAUACACUGAUAUUGAUUUGAGGUUGAGGGCCUGAGAUACAUAUACGCCACGAGGUGACUUGAUUGAUAUGAGGCCGAGGUCCUAGAUUUGAUGCUACGAGAUGGAUUGAUAUCGCUCUUGGGAUGUAAAGGGCCCUUUGCGGAGUCUGUACACCUAGUGAGCGCGAGUACGCAUUGUGAUAUGAGAUUGAGCCCGAGGAGCUGGUAUUGUUUCUGAUAUUGAGCCUGAGAGGUUGGUACUGAUCUAAGAUGUUGCCCGAGGGGAAGAUUUGUUGAUACUAUGCCGGGGGGGGGGUGAACUUUUACUUAUUUACUUUAUCUCAAUUAUCUGUUAGUUACUUAUUUGACUGGUUUUUACUUAUUUUAAGUGAUUUUCACUGAUUCACUAUAGAAUGCCUUGCGUUUUUACGUGUUUUCUUACUUGUAGUCAUUAUUUAUAUUCGUUGCUCAAUGAGUUGGAGUACUUACUUUAGUCCUUGCACCUUGUUUGCAGAUUCAAGCGUAGCUGGUUCCGCUCCUGAGUGCUGAUUCUUCCAGUUCCAGGCGGUUGUCGGAGAUUACAAGGUAGUUGUUGAUGUCUGCAGCCUUGUGUCUCUACUAUCUUGUCAUUUCUAUAUCCUUCGACUAUUUGUACUAGAUAUUGGAUUUAGCAUACUGUAUUAUGGCUCAUAGAUUCUCAUGACUUGUGACACCCCGAUUAGGGCUGUGUCGGGUUGGAUUUUCCACUUUGUUAUUGAUAUUUUCCGCAUUUUAGUGUAUUUAAAUCAUGUUUAGACUAUUUUUAUAUUGGUUAACUAUUUUAAAAAAUGAAUUAGGUUGAACUGGCUCGCCUUGUCUUCACGAAAGGCACCAUCACGACCGGUUUCGGGGUUUGGGUCGCGACAAAAAUUCUUAUGAUGCUGACUAUUACCAAUUUACUCAGUCCCUAAUUCAUAUUUAGUUUAUCUUAUUCACUAUCAGAUACUUGAUUUCUAUUAUUCUGGGGUCUAACUUUUUCCCUUGGUAAUCACGCUAGAGUUGCAAACUUAUUUCUCAAUGUAGGCUCGCCUUGUCAAAUAUUAUUACACUGCGAGGGAGAGUAUACGAGGGUGACAGGCCUUAGGACAAAAAAAUAUUCAUUUUUUCCCUCUUUUUUUAUUCUUUUUCUUUUUUUCACUCUCCUUAUUUUCCUAGCUAGUACCUUUUUGUGUUUGUAUACAGAUGUACCUUUUCGGUCUUUCUAUGGUUCCACUCAAAAGCUGCGUAAUCCCUUUCUUAACUCUUCUAGCUACUUAAGUACUUUCGGAGGUAAAGGUUCAACAAGACUUGAUUAAGAAUAAAGGGGAUUUGGUUUGUAAUGUGAUUGUUAAAAAGAAGGUCUACUUGCUCAAAAGGGUUGACUGCAGAUAAUAUUAGCACUAGUAGGCAAAUAGGCUAAAUAGUCAAUCAAAGAAAGCCUAUAUCACUUCCCAAACACACAGGGUACAAAACUUAAUCAUUUCGCUUCAACUCACAUGGGGUAAGUUCUAGACUAGAAAGGAUGGCACAUAGUACACCAAAAUCUCACCUCAUACAAUGCACAUGACACACUCAGGACGACUCAAACACGAUCCUCAAGUUAAAGCAACUAGCACAGUUAUCAUAAAAGCGAAGCAUACGACAAUUAACCACAAGAGUCAAAAUGAGCCUCGGUGUCAAAAUAAAGUCACGUAUAUUUCAAUACAUAUAAUUAGAAGGAUCAUGAAGAUAGUACUCAGUUCAUAUGCUCCAGACCUAAGCCCCGAUAUAAAACAUGUCAAAAGCACAAAUUACUCAAGCUUCUUCAUAUUCCAUUAUCAAAUCAAAAAGAAAAAGAUUAAAUCUUUUUGUGUUUUUCAUGUUUCUUUGGACUUUAAACCCUCAAAAAACCUACCUAGGAAGUCCAUCACCGGGAAAAGUCCAAAACUUUUUUUUAGAAAUUCUACCAACAAGAAAAAACUACUACCAGGUUCAAUGAAUCAUCCAUUGGAAAAAAAACAUGAACAUAAUAAAAACCAAGAGGGAUUACUUCUACCUAUUUUUUUAAUCUUUUUGUUUGGCACAUAUACAAUAAUACAACUAAAAUAGCACAUGAAUAUUCAACCACUCUCUCCACUCCAUAUUUUAAAUAAUGCAUUGUCCCAAUGUACACCCAUAACAACAAAAGGGUAAAAUAAACCCUUUCAUAGGCCAAAUACUAAUGCAUCAGCAGCUCAUGUGAUAUUUAGACUUCUCCCAUACUUAGUUCUUUAUGUGGGUACCCCUACUUAGUUCUAGGCAUCUCACUUGCUUUUGCUUUCUUCCGAUGGCCUUGCUUCCCAUGCUCCUAGAGAAAUUAAAAAAACGACACUACAAAAUUUAUAUUAGAAAUAAAAAAAUAAAAGAAAGAGUAGAGCUGGGUUUCCUCCCAAUAAGGUUUUUAUUUAGUGUCGUGGCACGAUGCGAAUCACUUUUUGUCUCCACCUCAAGCUUAUGAAUUGAGCCCCAAGUUCUACUUCAAGCUUAUGAUUAUGCUCCUGAGGUGGUACAUAUUUUUGUAAGCCAAAAAUUAAAUAAUUCUUUUUGCACUUUUUGGGUUCCAACUGAGGAGUGUCAUCUUGCGUAGAUGCUUUGAAAAUUAUAGAAUAUAAGGCUUAUCUAUCUCUUCCGUUGACUCCAUUUUAUGCUCGUAAGGAUCCACUUCCCAUUUCACCAUCAGAACACAAGGUAGAAAAAUGUUUGGAAUGAGGUUCAACGCGCUCAAACACAUGAACUUCAAGAUUUUCAACAUCCUUAACACAUAUCACACUAGAGUCAACUAAAUUUGUAUUCUAAAUGUCCUUGGCUGACUCUAGUAUCAUGUCAUAAACAUUGGCACCGUCAAAUUGUAAUUGGUUGGUUUGGUCAUAUUUUAUUCUGAACUCCUCCAUCUGCUGAUUCACGCUCUUCUUGGUUGUAUACACAAUGUCAGCUUUACAAGGUUCAACAAAUUAAAUUAGUUGAGCCUCCAAGUUGCGCAUAAUUUCCUCUUGUCUUUGUAUCAGUAGUGAUUUCUCAUCGUAUUAUUCCACAAGGAACAUUAGCAUAUCAUUGAUAUAUUUUAGGUCAACUUCCUUAGGUUAUUUGUUCUUAUUAGCUUUACCAAAAAAAGUAGAAUCAUCAUAGUAAGGGGUUGGGGGGUAUAAGGAAUAUAAGCACAACCAUGAAAGCGAUCAUCUUGACCACCACACAUAUCACACACAUUCCACACAAAAGAUUGAGUUGGUGCACACAACUCUCUCUCGAAAAUAUUUUGAUAUUUUUGCCAUAGGUGGUUUCCUCCACAAUAUGCACAUCUCUACGCCCAACUAUAAUCUUUAAAAAGAUAAGAGUCGUUGCAAAUAUAAUCUGGUGUAAGAGUCUGGAGUCGAAUCCCGCAGAGAACUAAGGUUUAGCUACAAUUAUUCAUUAUCUCUAAAAAGACAAGUUCGAACAAUCCCUAAAUUAUAUAAGUAUAAAUAUUCUUUUACCUACUAAUUAACUAACAAAUUAAAUAAGUGAAUUAACAACAAAAGUUACAAAGGGUUGGAGACAAGAUUGAAGAGGUAUAGAAUUAUGAUUUCCUUAAUUUUUGGAAUCUUUCCCGCUAUGUCUUCUAUGAUCUCGCCUAAUUAUUCUCUAUCGACCGUGAGUACUUUGGUUGUCGUAAUUCUCUCUCGAGCAACUACUACAAUUUACUAGAUGUAUUCUCUCGAACUACACUAACUGGCACUAAUCCACUACUCACUACGAUCACACUAAAGUUUCGUAAUCUGUAAUACCGUAGUUAAACCCUCUGUAUUGAUCUCUCACAUAUGUUAGGAGUGGUGUUGUUCAACAUCUACCUAAUUACAUAUUCUCUCUUAAUCUAUACAUACUAAAUAGUCAUAGGCAAUUGAUGGCCAUUCAAUCAAUAACCAAAAAACACAUAGUUGAACAAGUAGAGAAAUCCAAUGGCUCAAUUAUAUAAAAACUAACAAGACCAAUAAUGGGAAAAAAGGAAGAAAGAGGAAAAAACGUGAAGUUGAAUCCUUUUCCCUCUUACUUCUAGUGUGUUCUUGCCUCCCCAAAGUCUUCUAUCCUUCUAGAGUAGUGUCUCUCCCCAAAAACACAUUUUAUGAUGUAUUUAUAGCGACUAGGGUUUGUAUGGGGCAGAUUUUUCUUCUCCUAUUUCGGAUUGGAAAAGCUAAUUUUUCUACUCUGGUCCUGGUCUGGCAAAGUGAACCUCGCUUCACUAUCUGGUAAUUUUCUGGGUUCUUCUGCUCCAAUUCCGAUCUCGUGAGGUGGACCGCGCUUCAUUGUUCUGGACUUUUCUCUUUAGCUCUUUUUUCACUAAUUUUUUUCUAUUUGAUCCUUUUCCACAUAAAUUUUCUUCUACACAUAAUAAACACGUAAUGAGUAUAUUUUCACUUUAAAAGCGGUGUGAACUCUUGCCACUCACACAAAAAAUAAUAUAUGAACACACUCAAAACAUGAACUUUUCAUAUUUUAUCAAGUACUCCCUAAUUUUAUAAUUUAUGCUAUUGAAAUGGAUACAAUGGGUAGAAUGAUACCCAAUGCUAGUCCCUCUAUAUAAUGAUACUUAGUAGUCUUUGGAAAUACAUAGUUUACUCAUCCACUUUGCACCCAAAUCCUUGUUACACACUUAUUGACCACGAGUUUAACUUGACACACCAAACCUUUCAAAUGUGUGUCAAUUGCACACUACUUUUGACCAGCCUCUUGGACGUGUGAAACACGAACAAUGCAGUGCGUGAAAAGUUAUUUUCUACUUCACCUGACAAAUUAAAUGGCUAACUAUUGGAACUAGGCCCAUUUUCUUAACCCUAAUGCCCGCUUUUCAUCUUCUUAUUAAAAGCAACCGUUUUCAUUUUCUUCAUAUUAAAAGUAAUCAUUCUUAGAAAAACUCAAUCCCCAUUUUCACCUUCCACAUCUAAUAUUUUCAAGCUUGUUAUAUUUGUUAAAUUAAAGUGCGGUUCAUAAGGUAAAAUAAUUAUUCUUAUGUCAAUUUUUUUAUUAGAGUUCAUGUUGAAUUGAGAACUUGAGUCCAUUUUGUCGAUAUGGAGAUGCAGCUGAACUAAUAAUUUCAUGGAGCAUAGACAACUCUGGUCAUCGAUUCUACGGCUAUUAAAAUUACGGGGUAAGUUUAGAUUGAAAUAAUCGUUAUUUCAGGAUUUAUAAGCUUCAUUUUAAUAUGGUUUGAUCCCCCGACUCAUGAACACUUGAAGCCAGUGAUUUGGGGUCUCCUUAAGAUGAAGAAGUUGUUUAAAGGGAAUUUGCAGGAAUCCAAAAAAUAGAGGAAUUGGAGGAGAAUUUUUCUUCUUCUAAUUUUCGAAUUAAUCAUCCUUAACGCCGUUAUAUUUGAUAGUUCCAAGCACUACUAUAUAGUGUACUGAUAUUCUCCUGUAUUGGAUGUUCAUGUAUUUGGCUGAUUGAAGUUGUUAUUGUCUACGAUGGUUAUCCCCUAUUUUAUUUGAGAUGUAUUCAAGCUCUUGUGUUGUGUUCCUAUUUAGCUUAUUGAGCUUGUUGGUCUUAUCUUGUGUUAUGUUCCUAUUUAGAUUUGAUAACCAAACACGGGUAAUACAACUUUUGUAUAACCAAAGUAUACCAGUAUAAAAAAAGCCCUAAAUAUACUUCAUUCUACAAAAUAGGUGUUCAUUAGUAGACACCAAAUGGAUUAGUAACACUUUACAAAAUAUAGCACUUGGUUGUCCAUAGCAACACUUUACAAAAUAUAGCACUUGGUUGUCCAUAGCAACACUUUAUAAAACAUAUUAUUUUGUUGUCCAUAGCAAUACUUAACAAACAUAAAGCUUAAACCACAACGAAAGUCUUCAUUUCUUUUUCUACUUCUUCGUUGGUUGAGAUGAUGAACUAGCUUGGCUAAGAUUGUAUUGUGAUGCUGCAGCUCUUUGAAGUUGUCUUGUAUAUAUGGCUUUUUUUCCCAUCCAACUCAAGUCGACACUUUUUGGUAGGUAAGCACAUUCCUCCCCUGAAGUUGUAGACCUCUUAGUCUUAGUUCCCCUGCUAAUGACCUUUGGAUUUUGUCCUCCACUUUGCCAAAGUAUAGUAUAUUUAGUUAUAACAUUACAUUCAAUAUAAGGAAGAUAGACUAAUUAUAGCUUUAUUUAGUUCACUUACAGUAAAAGAAGUAAACUCAUUGCUUGCUUGAAACAGCCCAAUUCCACUGCCUUUACCUCUUCCAACCCAUCUACCUAUUGCAAAAACUCACCCACUUCUUGUUGGUUAUGAAAUAGAUAUUGUAGUAGUACUAGUUCCUCUUCCUCUACCACUCUCUCUUCCUCUACCCUUUUCAAUGGCAAAUGAAGGUGUACCAAUUGGUACAACAUUUCCAGCAGCAGCAUUUCUAGCAGUGGUUUUAUUUACUAGGACAUCCCCUCUUAUUGUGUCCACACAUACCACAAAGGGAAAAAGUCAUCUCCAUACCUCUCCUUGAGAGCUUCCCAGAUUUUGGAUGUCCAGUUUCUUAUGUUUUCUUAUUUUUUGAGUAUGCUAUGCAUCUUUCUGAUAGGGGGAGGUUCAAUAAAGGGUAGCCCAAAGAUGGUUAUUGUUUCAUACACGACACAGGCUGGAUAAAUGUUAAAUAAUCCUUCAUGUAAGUGGACUUAUGAUACCAAUGUGCAAUAUGGUGAAAAGGUUCCAUGUCCUUGAAAUGCAUGCUAGCAAUUUUAUGACAAUAGGAUAUACCGUUUAACUGCCAAGCUCUGCAACUACAAGUCAUAUUCACCUAAGGAUACCACAUAGUUGUACUUAGGAUCUUCAAUCUCAUAGCAUAUUUCACCAUUCCAUCUUGGAGUACACUUCAUAGACUUUGCUAAAUUAUCCUGGUAAAUCUUCAUUGUAAUUUGGGAGAUAUCACAUAUCCAUGUCUCAUAGAACCCCCUCAUCUUACAUAUCCUAAUCAUCAGUUUAAUUCUGAUUUUCUCUAAUAUUGUGAUGAUUGUCUUGUGUCUCUCGGCCAGAAUCCAGGAAUUGAAAGUCUCAGAUAUAUUUUUGUCAAUAAUAUCACACUUCCUAUCACAAUUGAAAUAAUCUCUGCACCGAGUUUCUUUUCUACAGUGGAGUAAGCUUUCACAUUUUCCAUCCCCGAGCUUGUCUAGAAUAUCAAGUUGGUGAUUCAAUUUUGGAACAUUAGAAGCUCUUGUGCAGCUCCAGAAAGUAUUUCUCCUCUUCAAUCCUCUCUACUCUUUUGAUCAGUGUGCAAUGAUGCGCCUAGCACACAUCUUGUGUUCACACUCAGGCAACAAAUCUCUUACAACAUUAAUUAAACCCCGAAGCAUUCAAAAAAAAAUAGUUACUGAAGCAGAAUAGUUACUGUAAAACAUUGAAGGAAACUAGUUAACCAAGCAGAACAGUUACUGCAAAAUAUUGAAGGAAAAUAGUUGUUGAAGCAGAACAGUUUCUUCAAAACAAUGAAGGAAAAUAGUUACUGAAGCAGAACAAUGAAGGAAAAUAUUACCUUCUUUAUAUCAGACAUAAUUGUAAGGUCUCUACCAUCUUCAAAACCCAAAUUUUCACUCAAACACUUCAGAAACCAAGUCCAAGUGAAGGUGUUUUCCACCUCUACAACUGCCCAUGCAAUUGGAAACGUCUGAUUGUUUUCAUCUUUGGAGAUAGCUACAAGAAGUUGUCCCUUUCAAAUGCCUUUCAAGAAACAUCCAUAAACGCCAAUAAUUCUUUUGCAUCUUUCAAGCCAACCCUUUUUUUGGCAUGCAAACCAACAUAGAUUUUAGAAAAUACUUGUUUUAUAUCGCCUUGAUCUUCUGCUUUCACCCUACAAGUACUCCCAGAAUUGGUCUACAAAAUUAUAUCUCUAUAGUCAUAUAGUCUUUUGAACUCUUGAUGCAUAUCACCAAUGAUUUCUUUCAGUAUCUUAGCUCUAGUCCUAUGGGAAAUUGAUCUCCCUACAUAGAGGCCCGGUUCUUGCUUUAUCAAUUUUUUCAACUCCCAAACUUUCAUAUCUGGUUGUGAUAUAAUUGUGCUUUAUAUAUCUUUGAAAGAUAUCUUGAAUUACACAAGGUGUUCUUGUUGGUUGUAUAACACUUGUGCACUCGAUUAUAUUUGUUCACCUUAAAAGUAUUGGAUCUUCCAUCUUUACUAGCUGCUAGAAGCCAUCCACAUUUAGGUACCAUGCAUUUUAUCUUCAUCCUAUGUAGCUCAUUUAUAUACUUCUCAAUCUGCACCCUUUUUUGAAUUGCAUAAUUGGUGACUGCUUUCAUAAACUCAUCAACAUUUUCAAAUAUCAAUCCUAACUCUCAAGUUAUUUUCUUGGCAGUACGAUCAAAUAUCAAUCUCUUCCUCUUUUUUCCUUAAUUUACUAUUAUGUUCUUCACCAUCUUCACCUUACACAUCUGAAGCAAAGCUUUCAACAUCUAAAGAACCAAAGUAUGGCUCAUCAGUGUCAAUUAGACCUUCAUACCUAUUCUGCUUACUACCUAUACGCAGCUCAUCAAACACAGUGUCUACACAUGCUUUAUUUAUGUUUAUAUCACCCUUCUAUUUAGGCUUUUAACUUCUUUUUCUCCUACUUCUUUUCACCUGCUCUUUACUUUCACAAAACUCCUCAUAGAUAUCAGAUUGAAGAUCAUUGUCAUCAGGAACAUUCAAGUCAACUUCACCAGAACUAUCAGAAGUCCAGUCUGUAUCUAGUUCUCCUUCUUUCCUAGCAUCAUCAUCAAAAGAAUUUCCAUUAAAAGCAACAGAACUGUCAGAAGUCCGGUGUAUGUUAUCAGAAUCUUCAUCAUCUAACUCUUCAACCUCUAUAGGCCUUUUUCCACAAGCCUUACUACGACUCAAACCUUCCCCCUUUUCAAUAAUGUCAUAUACUAAUAAAGAGGUAGCAUGAGUCACGUAUAUUUUUAGUAUAUCUCCAUCCUCUACCCUAUUAUAAAUGUUUAAAAUGUCCUUAUCAGUCAAUAAAUUUAUCACUUUGUCAAUUCUAUCCAUCGGGCACAUAUACAGCUCAUCCACGUUAGUUAGUCCCAUCUCCUUAGUGUAAUCCAUAAGCUCAAAGAACAAAAUCAUAUCUACAUCCAUGUCUAUAGUCAAGGAUUGACUGAUCCCACAUAUCUAUUAAAGGACCAAUAAUUAACUCACUCACGUGAUACCACUUCAAGAUGACAAUUUUGCAAGACAUCGUCCCUGAAACAAGCAGACAACAGGUUUCAGUUUUAUAUGCAAACAAAGAAUAAAGAAAAUAAAAUGGACAAUAAAGAAAGAAAAAUACAACACAAGCUCAAAAGAACCAGGUUUCAGUAGAUAAUGACAAGAGGUUCCCCGUAAAGAUGUCUUAAAGCCCUAAAAAUACUCCUGAUGAAAUACUCAAAUAAACCCUAACUAUUUUGACCCACCCAUUUAAAUCAAAAUGAUUGAACAACAUAAAAUGAGAAUUCUAACCUGAAAAUGACGAAAGUUACAGCAACAAUCAGCGGAUGUGUUCUCGUCAGAGGCUAGGGCUGAAGAACAUUUUGGUAAAAAUAGAAAUAUGUUUGUUCAUCUGGUCAAGGGUAGUUUUUAAUUUACCGGGUCGAAUCUUUUUUUGGUCGAGACUAAAAAAAGGUGGGGUUGUCAAUUUUUAACUAAAGAAUCGUUUGUCUUUUUAAUUUAAAUAAGGGGGUCACUACCACAAAAUAGGAUUUUAGUGGCAAUUAUAUAAUGGCAAUAACAUAAUUGUCACUAACUUAUUUUGAAAAAGCCAAUGUUACCGGCGAUUAAAUAUAAUCCCCAUUGAACCUUAUGCCUUCUGCUGAACUCUUAACAAGUCCAAGAGCGGUAUAUUUUUUUAUACUCCCUCCAAACUAUUUUUUAUUUUCCUCCAUAAUUCAUAAUUAAGUAGUCAUUAUUUUAUUCCUUUUUCAUCCAUGUCACAGUGGAAUGAUAAAUGAAUCACCACUAAAACUCUAACGCCCAAUUUAUCUCUUUAUUUCAUGUUAGAUCGGUUAGCCUGAUAUUUCAUGCACUUCCUCUUUUGAUAACUAUUGGACAAUGUCAAAAAUUCUUGUGAUAGAUGCAAAAAGCGAUUGCGAUUCUUCUUCUUCAUCGCCACUCGUUACAGUAUAGGAACCCCCUAGGAUGCUAUUUUUCUGAAAUUGAGAAAGCUAAGAGGCCUCUGAGCUCAAGGUCCGUUAUUAUCUAUUCUGAUAAAUUGCAAAUGUUUGUUAGAAAAAAAAAAUUCAAACAGCUUUCUACAUUAGGUGCUUUAUAGAUUAUUAUUGAUUUUCUAGAGAAUUUAUUUUCAUUUGAAUUCUUUGCCUUAGGAGAAAUUUAACCUUGACAUUUUAUAGAUCUCAAAAGAAAAAAUAAAUCUUGACAAACUAUAGCUAAAAUAAGUAUCAAGAAAGAAAACUUUAAAUCGGUGAAAAUAGAGAACUAUAGCUAUAUUUUUGGUUAUUUUUAACUAUAAAGAUAAAGGAAAAAUGACAGAUAGAAAAAUUAUUCCUUUAAUUACCAAACAAAUUGCUCUAAUCAUGUGAAUCGCGAUACAUAUUUCAAUUUUCUCUUAUGAAUGAAAUAUUGUUUAAAUUACUCUUUACAAGCAGAAGGUUAUUGGAUGGCUUCAUAUGAAUGCUUCAUAUGGCUAUAAGUUAAAAAGACAUCAUGCUUUUAUUUACGGUGACUUUGUAUAAUAGACCCUUUAAAAUAUCAAUAUUAUAGAGGUUAGAUCGGCACAAAUAUACUUUGUUGUAAUUUGCUUUUUAGAAUAUAUAGCUCUUAGGAGAGUUAAGGACCGUAGAUGGUGGAUAUUUGAAGUUGAUUUCCCAUUUGAAUACUUUGAUGCAUUAGCUUAAGAUAUAUAUCAAUGAAAAGGUAAGUUGUGACGUACUCUGCAGACAACCUUAUAUGCUCUUCUUUCCCUUCUUGCAUGGAUAGAUGCAGAAACUAGGGAAGCUCUUUGUAGUGUCAUGCAAAAAGCUGAAUACUAAUUUUCUUUUACUAGGCUUUUGUGGAACUUGGAAACUUUAAGGUUUGUUUUCCAUCCAUGGUGCUGCUGCUGUAGUUGUCUGAUAAGUUUCUGGUAUUGACUAUGACUUGGUUCAUUUUCUAAUGGGACCGAGCUUUCACAUCUUUUAGUGAGUUAGCUGCUGCCACACUCUUAUUUUGUUAGCUUCUUAGAGAAGCUUUUACAUCUUUAUUGUGAUGACCCGAAAUAUCAUCACUUAUUUUUAAAUUAAAUUAUGUAUUUUUGAGCCCUUGAAAACCUUAUUUAGAUUCACUUCAUUUUGCGUGCGCAAUCCGGACGCACAGCGGAAAGCUUAAAUGAGAAAAUUUGUAAAAAAAUGGUAAAAUUUAGCUAUAAAAUGAGCUAAUUUGACUUUGGUCAACGUUUUGGGUAAGUGGACCCGGAUCCAUGAUUUGACGGUUCCGAAGGGUCCGUAGGAAAAUAUGAGACUUGACCGUAUGCUCAGAAUCGAAUUCCAAGGUACCAAGCCCGAGAAAUGAAUUUUUAAAGGAAAUUAUUUUCAGAAAUUAAAUAAGAAAAUUUGAAAAGAAAUUUGGUUAGAACAUGUUAGUAUCGGGCUCGUAUUUUGGUUCCGGCGCCCUGUACAGAUCUUACAUAUGAUUUAAGAGGUUUUUGUGAAAUUUGGUGAAAAACGGAUAUUGAUUGAUGUGAUUCAGACCUAAACUGUUAAAGUUGAGACUUGAUGAAGUUUGAGAAAAGUCCUUUGAAUUUGAGGAAUUAAUUUGUUGUUAUUGAGAUUAUUUUGGUGAUUUGAUUGCUCGGAUAAGUUCGUAUGAUGUUUUUGAGUUAGUAUGCAUAUUUGGUUUGGAGUUAUGAGAGCUCGGGUGAGUUUCGGGUGGGUUCCGGAAGGUCUUAGACUUAAUAACACAUAUAUUGCAGGUUCAGAGCAAUCUCAGUUCUCUGAACCCGCUAGUGCGGUCCAUGAGAAAUUGAGUGCGACCGCGGAGGGGGCCAACGCGGUACGCGGUCGCCUUUGUGCGGGCGCGGUAGGUGUUGUGCAGCCACAUUCUAUUUUGUACGAUCCGUACAGUGUCGCAGGUCCUCAGGUUCACUCGGCUGUGCGGUCGCAGUUGGUUUUGUGCGGUCCGAACAGGGGGUCCAAUAAGGGUAUAAAUAAACGGGAUUCUCAGCUUUUUUUUAUUUUUCAAAACCUAAAAAUAUAAGAGGCGAUUUGUUCAAACGACCUUUCUUCUCCAAAUCAAUUGUAAGUCACUUUCAACUAGUUUUCUUCAAUCAUUAACAUCUUUUAACAUGAUUUUAACUUCAAAUCGAUGAUUUUCAUGGGUAGAACCUAGGUUUUCAAAAAUUAGCGAUUUGGACCUCGAUUUGAGGUCUGAUUUCAAAACAAAUCACAUAUUUGAGGUCGUAGGGAAUGUGUAAUCGGGUUUUGGUUCGAGCCUCGGGUUUUGUUCACGUGGGCCCGAGGGACAAUUUUGACUUUAUAGAUAAAACUUUGGAAAACUCAUUUCAUGCAUUCAAAUUGAUUCAUUUAGCGUUUAUUGAUGUAAUUAAGUAACUUAUGACUAGAUACGAGCGAAUGGGUGGUGGAAUCAAGGGGUAAAUCUAUAAUUGAGUCGUGAAAUAUGUUCGUCGCAUCGAUGUAAGUGAUUGGUCUAACCUUAAAUUUAGUGAUUAGGAGUUGUGUCCUAUUUGCUAUUUACUUCUUGUUGAGUACGACGUACAUGCAUGGUGACGAGUAUCUAUACGUUAGUAUCAAGCAUGACCGUGAGUCUUACAUUGUGAUUUUUAUGACUUUGUUGUAUUACUCAUUCUUCGGUGAAGAUUUAUAUUUGUUGUGAAAAGUUGUUGAAAGAAUCGUGACCAAUGAACAUUAAGGACUAUUGGAUCCUGUUGUAUAAUGAAUUGAUAAAGUAUAAGUGAUAAUUGAAACUCUAGAGCAUUGGCUCGAGUUGUGAAGUGAAAUGUGAAGUAAAAGUGAGAAAGAGAAGAUAUCAUUAUGUUUCCCCUUUGUCAGGCGAUUGUUGAGAUGUGGUUCCCUUGCGUUGUGUUCUUAUUUGAUAUUAUGGAUGCUUAGGUUGAUGAUUCCUCGGGUUAGGUGUUGUAACAAGUUUAGUCAUAGCUGGGGUAGUUAGGUGUUGUAACAAGUUUAGUUAUAGCUGGGGUAGUUAGGUAUUAUAACAAGUUUAGUUAUAGUUGGGGCAGUUAGAUGUUGUAACAAGUUUGGUUAUAGUUGUUUCUCCCUUGCCCGGAUAUUGUUGAGAUAUCAUUGUUUCCUUACCGUGAUGUUUGUUGAUAUUAUUGUUGCCUUGUCGGUAUUACUUGUGAUUAUUGUUUCCUUAUAAAUGGGAGCGGGUGGUAUGCCUACAACUGUAUAUAAUGAAAUGGGAGCGGGUGCUACGCCUACCACGAGAUAUAAUAAAAUGGAAAUGGGUGGUAUGCCUACCAUGAGAUAUAGUAAAAUAGGAGUGGGUGGUACGCCUACCACAAGAUAAAUGAAAUGGGAGCGGGUGGUACGCCUACCACGAGAUAAAUGAAAUAGGAGGUGGGUGGUACACCUACUACAAGAUAAAUAAAAUGGGAGCGGAUGGUACGCCUACCAUAAGAUAAAUGAAAUGAGAGUGGGUGGUACGCCUACCACGAGAUACAAUAAAAUGCGAGCAAGUGGUACGCCUACCACGAGAUAUAAUAAAAUGGGAUCUGGGUGGUACGCCUACCACGAGAUAUAAUGAAAUGGGAGCGGGUGGCAUGCCUACUACGAGAUACAGGAAGUUGGAUCGGGUUGCACGCCUGUAACAAGAUGUGAAAAGAAAGUGAAAUCUGCCUUUGUUUUCUUUAUUCUUGAUAGUGAUUGGAUUUUGAUUCCUUUAUAGUUCUCUUAAUAUGCUGUUUUUACCUGUUAUUCCCUGAAGCAUGUUUUCCCCUCCCAUCCUUACUUGAUUGUACCUACUUUACUUUCUAUUGUAUAUACACAUGGUUAUUUGAUAGUCUGGUCCUAGCCUCGUCACUACUUCGCCGAGGUUAGGCUAGGCUCAUAUCAGCUCAUGUGGUCGGUUGUGCUAAUACUAUACUUUAUACUCUUUUGUGUAGACCCUAAUUUUAUAGACUUCGGACCGUGGUAAGAUUGCUAAUUCUAGCUCAUCAGGCUACUCGAGGUAGUCAUGCAAGCGUCCGCAGGCCUUGGCGUCUUCUUCUAUCUACUAUUCAUGUUUCUUUCAUGCAUUUCCAGAGACAGUGUUGUAUUUAUUUCUUUCAGACCUUUAUUUGUAGUAGUCUUAGACCGCCUGUGAAACUGUGACACCAGUUCUGCAUAGUCGAGACUCAAACAAUUGUAUUAGAUAUCAUGUUCAGAUAGCUUAUUGCAUUUCUUCCGUUUACGUUCAAUUCCGUUGUUUAAAUGUUAUUUCUUCUUAACUGUUAAAGGAUAUAAAAUGGGUAAAAAGGUAAAUUGAUUAAAUAAUUGGCUUGCCUAGCUCACAUUAGUAGGCACCAUCACGACUCCCGAGGGUGAUAAAUCUGGGUCGUGACAAGUUGGUAUCAGAGCUCUAGGUUACAUGGGUCUCACAGUUCAUAGACAAGCUUAGUAGAGUAUGAGAGAUCGGUACGGAGACGUCUAUAUUUAUCCCCUAGAGGCUACAAAGUCAGGAAAACACUUCAUAUUCAUUCUUUCCUAUCAUGUGAUUUUGUUCUCUAAAUGCUAAAUUAAAACCUCUACUCUUAUCCUUUCGCGAAUGGAGAGGUCGUGUACCGCUACUUCGGCCAGGUAGCAGCACAGACCGGUGAUAGAUCAGCUACGUCUUUGGAGGCUUUGUGCAGGUUGGACAGGUUUCCCCAAGCUCUGCACUAUUACAUUCAGCGGUGCAUCUACUGAGGAACCCCAGGAUUAUCAAGACAGUUGUCAUGAGGUUCUCAGAAACAUAGGGAUAGUUGAGACCAAUGAGAUUGAUUUAUUUACUUUUCGCUUGUCUGGAUCCCCCAAUACUUGGUGGGGGGAUUAUUGCUUGGCUAAACCAGCCGGAUCGCCAGCUUUGACUUGGAAGAAAUUCACCCAGCUAUUUCUGGAGAAGUUUCUCCAUAUCACUCAGAGAGAGGUAUUAAAGGAAGAGCUAGAGGUAUUAGAGGUGGAGGUAGAGAUGCUAGAGGUGGAGUUACAAGUAUUAGAUGUGGAGGUAGAUGUAUUGUUCUGGUUUGUGAUAGAGAAGCUUCAAUUUUAUUUUGCACCAUAUCUGGUCAUGCUUAGUGAUUCUUUGAGUGCCCAUGUUUAUGUGUCGGUCGGUGGGUGAUUCUAUUGUGGUGAAUCGCGUCCAUUGUUCAUGUAUAGUGGUUAUUGGAGGUCUUCAGAAUCGUGUAGAUUUGUUGCUUCUAGACAUGGUUGACUUUGAUAUUAUAUUGGGGAUGGACUGGUUAUCACCUCACCACGCUAUUUUGGACUAUCAUGCCAAGACUGUAACCUUAGCCUUACCAGGUUUGCCUCGUUUAGAGUAGAGAGAGACUCCUAAUCAUUCUACCUGCAGUGUUAUCUUGUAUGUGAAGGCUUAGUGUAUGGUUGAGAAGGGGUGUUUGGCCUAUUUAGCAUAUGUUCGUGAUUUUAGCACUGAGGUUCUCUUUAUUCUGUACAUGUUGUUCGUAAGUUUCCUGAGGUAUUCCCUUCAGACCUACCAGGUAACCCGACGGGGAUAUUAACUUUUGCAUUGAUGUGGCUUCGGGCGCUUAGCCUAUUUAUAUCCUGCCGUAUUAUAUGGCGUUGUUUGAGUUAAAAGAGUUAAAGGAGCAAUUACAAGACUUUCUUGAGAAGGGCUUCAGUAGACCUAGUGUUUCUCUUUGGGGUGUGUUGGUUUUGUUCGUUAAAAAGAAUGAUGGGUCAAUGAGAAUGUGUAUUGAUUACCGAUAAUUGAACAAGGUUACAAUUAAGAAUAAAUAUCCUCUACCACAGAUUGAUGAUUUGUUCAAUCAGCUUCAGGGUGCCAAGAUCUUUUCAAAUAUUGACUUGAGAUAUGGCUACCAUCAGUUGAGGAUUAGGGCAUCUGAUGUCCCUAAGAUUACUUUUCGCGCUCGGUAGAGUUCUUGGUUAUGUCUUUCAGGUUGACAAAUGCCCCAACAGCUUUUAUGGAUUUGAUGAACCGAGUCUUCAGGCCUUCUUUGGAUUUGUUUGUAAUAGUCUUUGUUGAUGACAUAUUGAUAUAUUUUCGCAGUUAGGAGGAGAACGAGCAGCACCUUAGAGUGGUUCUUCAUACUCUGAGGGAUAGUCAGUUAUAUGCAAAGUUCUCGAAGUGUGAGUUCGGGUUGAGUUCAGUUGCAUUUCUGGGUCAUGUUGUAUAAGCAAAGGAUGUUUAGAUUGAUCCAAAAAAGAUUGAGGCAGUCAAGAACUGGCCUAGACCAGUACCAGCUAUAGAAUUUCGGAGCUUCUUGGGAUUGGCAGGCUACUAUUGUCGGUUCGUGGAGGGGUUUUUGUUUAUUGCAACCCCGAUGACCAGGUUGACCCAGAAGGGUGCCUAGUUCAUAUGGUCGGAUGAGUGUGAGGCCAGCUUUCUGAAGCUCAAGACAGUUCUGACUACGGUAGCGGUGUUGGUUUUGCCCACAGGUUUAGGGCCUUAUACAGUUUAUUGUGAUGCAUCUCGUAGGGACUUGGUGCAGUAUUGAUGCAGGAUGGCAAGGUCAUUGCCUAUGCUUCGCAGCAGUUGAAGAUUCACGAGAAGAAUUAUCCGGUUCACGAUUUUUAGUUGGAAGCCAUUGUUCACGCAUUAAAGAUUUGGAUGCAUUAUCUGUAUGGUAUGACAUAUGAGGUGUUCACGGAUCACAAAAGUCUUCAAUAUUUGUUCAAGUAAAAGGAGUUGAAUUUGAGGCAGUGGUUGGAGUAUCGAUACCCAAUUUUUCCCAAUGUAUUUUUUUGUAUACAAAAUACUUUCAAAAUAACAUAUAUAUGCAUAUAUAAGCAUACCCAAGUGUUUUAGUAUUUUUUCCCAAUUUUUAUAGUUUUUAAAAUCAAUUUAUUGUCCGUUUUAGCAGUAAAAAAGAUCCAAUAAUUAUCUCCAAGAUUAUUAUUUUGGUGAAUAACCUAGCUUAUUCUCAUAUUUACCCCAAAAUACAAUUAGGGUGAUUUUUGUACAUUUUACAAAUUUAUUUGGCAUUCUAACAGCUAAAUUGCAUAUAAUUGCGAUUAUAGCCUAUUUUACGAUUAAUAGUAUUUUAUAAUUAUAAAAUUGGUCCCAAUAUUUUUAAAUUAAUACAUACAUAUAUAUAUAUAUCCCAAUUUUUAUAGUUUUUAAAAUCAAUUUAUUGUCCGUUUUAGCAGUAAAAAAGAUCCAAUAAUUAUCUCCAAGAUUAUUAUUUUGGUGAAUAACCUAGCUUAUUCUCAUAUUUACCCCAAAAUACAAUUAGGGUGAUUUUUGUACAUUUUACAAAUUUAUUUGGCAUUCUAACAGCUAAAUUGCAUAUAAUUGCGAUUAUAGCCUAUUUUACGAUUAAUUGUAUUUUAUAACUAUACAAUUGGUCCCAAUAUUUUUAAAUUAAUAUCUAUAUAUUAUUAAUUACUUUAGUGCUUUUAAUUUUCUUAUAAAAUCGUUUACUAUUGUUAUAAAAUAAAAGGGAAAACUGACUAUUUAACAUUUAGCCUCUUUUUAUUAAAAUUAUAGCAUAUUCAUAUUUCCAUUUUAACCCUCAAAUUACCCAACUCAAUUUUAAAUUUAGACCCAAUCCCUUGACCCAUUUUCAGACUCGCCCGGUCUUCCUUUUAAUCAUGGCCGUUGAUCAUUUUGAUCAACGACCCUGAUUCACCCUUUCCUUUCUUAAUCUACCAACACCCCUAACCCUAACCGUUCUAUCAGAGGCAGCCGCCUCUGAAUCCUCUCAUCUCUAAAAAUCUCUCGAACUCUCUCAAAGCCCUAAUCACCUUUUACCACUUUCAACCCCAAACUCGCCGGAAUCCAUGGCUUCUCCGGCCAUGGAUGGCUUAUACUCACCUCAUACUGCUCUUAUGUACCUGAUUCUUGAAGGUUCUAGUCCAGAAUACGAAGGUCUUCACUCAGAACUUCGCCGAUUUGAGGUUUUCGGCCAUCUCCGACCUUGCUCCGGCAUAGCUUAGUCUCCUGAGUCUGAUUCCGACCUUAUCUGAAUUAGAUCGGACCUUUUCCAAGCCUUUCUGACUCUAGGGUCCCUAUGAAGCCCUAGCUAUUCGAGAUCUUUCUUCGAUUCUUUUUAGAUCCAUUGUGUAUCUAUGCUAUGCGUGAAUUUUCAAACGAUUUUCCUAAAUUUUCCUUUGAAAAUUACUUUCAAAACACUUCUUGUCUGAUUUUAAGGUUUCCUCGAAAAAGUUUAAGUGUUUUAUGAUUUUCCUUCUUUAUUGUUUGUGUUGUUUCAUCUACUGUGUUUCCUAUAUUAUGUUAUCACCUGCUUUCUACCGUGUUCUUAUACUUUUCCUACUGUGUUCUUGUGUGUUCUUUUACUCAAUUUUUCUUUUCUAUUGUGUUUUCUAUGCUGUGUACUUGCAUGUUAUAUCAUGCAAUCUUCUUCCUCUAUAAUGUGAGGUGCUUCUCUUGUUGUAUCUGUCUACCAUGUCUUAAGUAUUCCUGAUAUAUUUACCAUGUUUAAGCAUGUGUUUCUUCUAUUGUUUCUUCCACUAUCAGUUGUUCUCUCAUUAUGCUUCGAAUUAGCUUCUUCACUAUGUUUACUUAAUAUUCCUACUUGUCUGCAUGUUUCUCAUGAGUUUCUGAAAAGAAAUCUCAGAGCAUGUUGCCUCCUCAUCUUUGUACUUGACUCAGGAAGAAAAACCCUAGAAUUUUGGGUUUUCCUCCGAGUUUGGGCAUAUAAUCAGACUAGGCUCUGUUUGAUAAUUCUAGACUCUUUCAAACUUAUUUCUAAGCCUAUCAACUGAGUGUGAACUUCUUUUGUUCGCAUAUAAUUCGGAUUCUCCUACACUAGACUCUCCUAUUGAAUGGCAUGGCAAAUUUCUUCAAGUUUAAACGUGUCUGUAUGCUUUUUAUAUAUGAUGAUUCUUUCUUCAAAGAGGUUUUCAAGCUAAUGAUUGAUUCAGAAUCCCUUUUUAAUAGGUCUAUUGAUUGUUAUUGUUUUUCUUAACUUAAAACCUUUUCUACCUUUUUGACUGGGUUCAUUCAUACCAAAUCCUUGAUCUCUGAUUUUCUGGCUGUUAGUUGAUUCCAUUGCCUUAUUUGCACAAAUUGUGUGCUUUCAUAAGCCGUGUCCUUAAAUAACCUUUAUGUAUUUGCCUUCAAUUGCAUGCUUUGCAAAAAAGUCUUAUUUAAUUUCUUUCCUUAAAUUGGUUUAUACCCGUUUGAAUUUGAAUCCCUCAAUUAAAUGGAGUCUUAUGUGAUUGAUUGAAAAUCGUAUUUCAAGUAUUUUCUUACCUUAUUUCUCAUGACUUUCACACUAUAAAUACAUGCCUUUAUUUAAGAGAAGACAAGAUUAACAGAAAAACAUUCUUAGAACUACACAGUCACAAGUAUCUUAUGAACUUAUAAUAUUCUUGCUUCUUGUCUGCACUUUGGCUUUUAUAAGGCUAUUACUUCUCUUUACUUGUCUCUUCAAAACUGGUAUGUCCUGACUUAAUUUUCAGCAUCACCCCAAUGUGUUUAUUUACAAGUCCUAAUACAUAUGUCUACUUUUUUGCCUAUAAAGUUUAAAACUUGACUUAAGUGCAUAUAUAUUGCUUGCUUCUCUUCUUUGUGACAUUAUCCCCUAUAUGCUUGAGAGUGGGGACUUGGGGAAUGGCAACAAUAAUUGUUGUUCAUGACCUAAGUUUUUGACCCCUCAACCUCUAAGUAGGCUGGAAGGUGUGUCAGUAUGUCUCAUUGCUGGGUAUGCCCCUUUGCUUGCUCUUUCAUCACAUCCAUCUUUUAUAUAAAUCCCUAUACCUCAUUCCCCUAUGUGUGCAGAGUUAAGGUAUAGCCUGGCAACAUCCAAAUUGUUGUCCAUGGUUGAACGUGACCUUCAACAGGUCUUAACUCCUCAAUUUGAAUUGACAAGCUGAUCAGGGGUGUGCCAGCACCCCAAAUUGCUAAGCAUGACCACUAGCUUUCCAUUUCCCCUUCUACUACACUUGCACUUACUCUUAGACCCUAAGUUCUGCCCCCUCCUAUGAGCCCUACCUUGGGAACCUUGAGUUUCCCUCUGAACUUGGGCAUUUGAGGGGUGGCCCUUCCACACUGCACUAUAAAUCCAAUUCAGCAAUAUAUUUGGAUGUAAGCACUGCCCGAAAUCCAUUUGAGAUUAUUAGGGAGCUCUGACACAUCCCAAAUAAGAUAAAGGCUUUGGAAUUUGGCUUUUGGGAGUUGGUUUACUUCAUGCUUCAGAUAGAAGCCUGAAUCAGGCUCUCAUUGGCUGGGACUGUUUAGCUUUCUGAUGUAUUUUACUUUUCUUUAUUCAUUCGGGUCUGUAAUAAUCUAUAAUAAUUGUGGGGUUCUACUUAAAAGGGGAGGGUUACUCAUGUAUGCAUAUGGGUAGACAUAUUGCUUUAGGUAUUUACUUUUGCAAUCACAACCUGCUCCUUCGCUUAUGCAUUACAUGUAGAAAUUUUGCCUAUAAGUUAUGCAUUGCAUGUAACAAUCCUUCCUAUAAUUUAUGCAUACAUGUAGAAAUCCUGCCUAUAAGUUGUUUCAUUUCUGCAUUAGAAAUCAUGUCUUUGAGUUUCUGUAUUUCUGCAUAUAGAAACUAUGUCUAAGUUUCUACAUUUCACCAUAUAGAAACCAUGUUUAUAAGUCUUCUGCAUUUCUGCAUAUACAUAUGUCAUUAGGCAAACCGUUUAUAGGUUAAAAAAAUAACAAGCCGCAUCCUAGAUAUCAUGCCUAUAGGUACUUGCAUCCCGAUAAUUGUUUUGAAAUCAAUAACGCCUAAAAAUCAUGUCUAUAGGAGUAACCUGUUAAAUCAGAUUCGUCUACAAGUUUAAAUCGUUAAUCAUUUCAUUUAAAAUCUGAAGAGCUUCCGUCUUGUCUAAAAUCAUUAUGCCACUCUCAACGUUAGAUAUCAUGACUGUAAGCCUCAUCUAGGCAAACCUGUAGGUUCUAAAUCAAUUACAUCAGACUCUAAUUUCAGCCAGCAGGCAGGUCUGAUUCUGUUUUCUUAGCUGAAAUGUGUAACAAGCCAGUCUACCUCGUUAAGGUUAAGUUUAAUUUAGACCCUACUAGUAUUUGAAGUCAUUCUAUACAUUUUCCGUUAAGUGAGGAGGCCUAUUUGAGCCUUAAUUAUUGUUUGCUUUCCCCUAAUUGUUUAUGUGUUUUGUGUGACGCCUAGAAUUUUAUCCUUUUAAAUCUCUGGAGAAAAAAAAACAACUCCCUCCCAUUUGAGAUUAGUAGUCCUAACUGCCUCCCGGACUGAUUGGAUUGGGACGGGUACUAGUAUGCAAUAAGAAACUUUACCAUUCCAUGUUUUAAUAUCUUAACGGGGUGGGGAUGAUAGAUAUGGAUAUGAUGACCGGUGCACUAAUAUCACGUGUGACCCCUUAUUUGAGGAAUGAUUGCUAGAUAAUGCAUUGAUUCAUCCAUAUUAAUCAUAAACCUAGGACCCCUCUCCCUUUUAUUUGCUUUCAUCUCUUCUCGUAAAACUAUUUAAAUCUGCCCUCUCUACUUACUUUCAAAGUUUUAAAUUUAUUUGCGAUGUUGUGUGCAAGUCUCUUUAUUUGAGCCCUUAAUUGUCUACUUGAUUACAUGAAGUCAAAAUAUAACAUGGUCGGGAACCACACUAGUGGAUCUUGAGGGGUUCCUAACACCUUCCCCUCGAGAUAAUAUCUAGCCCUUACCCGAACUCUGGUUUAUUCAACUCAAAACCCUUCUUGGUGUCCUAAUGCACUUUAAUCAUUAGGUGGCGACUCUUCAAAAUUCCAAAACCCAAAUUCCCAAAAGGAAUAGAGUUGUUCGCCCAAAUGUCGCAAACCCGAUUUCGCCUCAGAAAAAGGGGGGCAUCGAUAUGGAGUUGUUGAAAGAUUAUGAUAUCACCAUUUUAUAUCAUCUGGGAAAGCUAAUGUGGUGGCCGAUGCUUUGAGUAGGAAGUCAGCCAGUAUGGGCAGUCUUGCUUAUAUUUCGGUCGGUAAGAUACCGCUUGCUUUGGAUGUUCAGGCUUUGGCCAAUCAAUUCAUGAGAUUGGAUGUUUAUGAGCCCUGUCAUGUGUUUGUCUGCACAGUAGCCCGUUCUUAUUUAUUGGAUCAUAUCAGUGAUUAGCAGUAUGAUGAUCCCCAUUUGUGUGUCCUUAGAGACACGGUGCAGCGCGGAGAUGCCAAGCAGGUUACCUUAGAUGAUGAUGGAGUUUUGAGAUUGCAGGGUCGAGCUUGUGUGCCUAAUAUGGAUGGUCUCCAAGAGUUGAUUUUAGAGGAGGCACAUAGCUUCUGGUACUCGAUUAAUCCGGGCGCUGCAAAGAUGUAUCAGGAUUUACGGUAGCACUAUUGAUGGCGGAGAAUGAAGAAGGAUAUCGUAGCAUAUGUGGCUCAUUGUUUGAAUUGUCAGCAUGUUAAGUACGAGCAUCAGAAGCCUCGUGGUUUAUUUUAGAGGAUUGAUAUUUCUGAAUGGAAGUGGGAGCGGAUUACUAUGGGCUUUGUUACUGGACUCCCGCAGACUCGGAAGAAGUUCAACGCAGUAUGGGUCAUUGUUGAUAGAUUGACCAAGUCAGCACAUUGCAUUCCUGUGGUAGUCUUCUAUUUUUCUAAGAGGUUAGCUAAGAUCUAUAUCCGGGAGAUUGUUCCCCUUCAUGGUAUGCCCGUAAUUAUGAUUUCAGACCAAGGUACGCAGUUUACCUCGAGCUGCUGGAGAGCAGUUCAGCAAGAGUUAGGCACACGGGUUGAGUUGAGCACAAAAAUUCAUCCCCAGACAGACGGACAAUCCGAUCGUACUAUUCAGAUAUAGGAGGAUAUGCUCCGAGCUUGUGUCAUUGACUUUGGAGACUCGUGGGAUCAAGUUUUUGCCUUUAGUGGAGUUUGCCUACAAUAAUAGCUACCAGUAGAGUAUCCAGAUGGCUCCUAAUGAGGCUUUAUAUGGUAGGUGGUAUUGAUCUCCGGUUCGAUGAUUUGAGUCGGGAGAGGCUCGGGUGUUGGGUACGGAUCUGGUUCAGAAGGCCUAGGAUAAAGUCAGGAUAGGCUUCGUACAGCUCAGUCCGGGCAAAAGAGCUAUGUCGAUCGCAGGGUUCGAGAUUUGGCUUUCAUGGUAGGUGAGAGAGUAUUGCUUCGAGUGUCGCCUAUGAAGGGCGUGAUGAGAAUCGGGAAGAAAGGCAAGCUUAGCCUUGGGUUCAUUAAUCCAUUUGAGAUUUUUGAUUGAGUGGGAGAGGUGGCUUAUAAACUUGCAUUGUUGACAAUCUUAUCAGCCGUCCGUCUAGUGUUUCAUGUGUCCAUGCUUCGAAAAUAUCAUGAUGAUCCAUCCCACAUGUUAGAUUUUAGCACUGUCCGGUGGCUAUUCUAGACUGGCAGGUUCGUCAGUUGAGGUCAAAGAGUUUUCCCUCUGUUCGUGUUGAGUGGAGAGGUCAGCCUCUCGAGGCAUCGACUUGGGAGUCUGAGUCAGAUAUGCAGAGCUGUUAUCCCCCAUCGUUUCCCCGACUCAGGCACUUCUUCUUCUGUCCAUUCGAAGACAAACGUUUAUUUUACAGGUGGAGGAUGUGAUGAGCCGAAAGGUUAUCACUUGUUUCUAAAUAAAGCCUUGAAAACCUCAUUUAGAGUUACCUCGUUUUGUAUGCAUAGUCCAGGCGUGUAGUCAGAAAGCAUAAAUGAGAAAAUCUAUGAAAAAUGGUAAACUUUAGCUAUAAAAUGAGCUAAUUUGACUUCGGUCAACGUUUUGGGUAAGUGGACCCAGAACCAUGUUUUGACGGUCUCGGAGGGUCAUUGGAAAAUAUGGAACUUGGGCGUAUGCUCGGAAUCGAAUUCCGAGGUCCCAAGCCCGAGAAAUAAUUUUUUAAAGGAAAUUGUAUAGGAUAUUUGAAAUGAAAUUUGGUUAGAACAUGUUAGUGUUGGGCCCAUAUUUUGGUUCCGGUGCCUGGUACAGGUCUCAUAUAUGAUUUAAUAGGUUUCCGUGAAAGUUGGUGAAAACGUGAUUCGCACCUAAACUGAUAAAGUUGAGACUUGAUAGAGUUUGAGAAAAGUUCUUGAAUUUAAGGGAGUAAUUCGUUGUUAUUGAGAUUAUUUUGGCGAUUUGAUCGCACGGAUAAGUUCGUAUGAUGUUUUUCAGUUAGUAUGCACAUUUGGUUUGGAGUUCCGAGGGCUCGGAUGAGUUUCGGGUAGUUCUGGAAGGUCUUAGAUUUAAUAACACAGAUAUUGCAGGUUCAGAGCAAUCUCAGUUCUCUGAACCCGCUAGUGCGGUCCGCGAGAAAUCGUGUGCGACCGGGGAGGGGGCAACCACGGUAUGAUGUCGCCUUUGUGCAGUGCGCGGUGGGUGUUUUGCAGCGGCCUUCUAUUUUAUGCGAUCCGUAUACUGUCAUAGGUCCUAACGUUCACUGGGUUGUGCGGUCGCUGUUGGUUUUGUGCGGUCCGCACAGAGGGUACAAUAAGGGCAUAAAUAAACGGGAUUCUCAGCUAUUUUUUAUUUUUCAAAACCUUAAACAUAAGAGGCGAUUUGUUCAAAUGAACUUUCUUCUCCAAAUCAAUUGUAAGUCAUCUUCAACUAUUUUUCUUCAAUCAUUAACAUCUUUUAACAUGAUUUUAACUUCAAAUCGAUGAUUUUCAUGGGAGAAACUGGGUGUCUUGGGUAGAACCUAAGUUUUCAAAAAUUAGGGAUUUGGACCUCGAUUUGAGGUCUGAUUUCAAAACAAGUCACAUAUUUGAGUUCGUAGAGGAAUGGGUAAUCGGGUUUUGGUUCGAACCUCAGGUUUUGACCACGUGGGCCCGGGGGCAAUUUUGACUUUUUGGAUGAAAUUUUUGAAAACUCAUUUUCAUGCAUUCAAAUUGAUUCAUUUAGCGUGUAUUAAUGUAAUUAAGUAACUUGUGACAAGAUACGAGCAAAUUCGUGGUGGAAUCAAGGGGUAAAGCCAUGAUUGAGUCGUGAAAUGUGUUCGUCGCAUCGAGGUAAGUGAUUGGUCUAACCUUAGACUGACUGAUUAGGAGUUGUGUCCUAUUUUCUAUUUACUUCUUGUUGAGUAUGAUGUAUAGACAUGAUGAUGAGUAUCUAUACGUUAGUGUCAAGCAUGACCGUGAGUCUUAUAUUAUGAUUUUCAUGAGUUUGUUGUAUUACUCAUGCCUGGGUGAAGAUUUAUAUUUGUUGUGAAAAGUUGUUGAAAGAAUCGUGACCAAUAAACAUUAAGGACUAUUGGAUCCUGUUGUAUAAUGAAUUGUUAAAGUAUAAGUGAUAAUUGAAACUCUAGAGCAUUGGCUCGAGUUGUGAAGUGAAAUGUGAAGUAAAAGUGAGAAAGAGAAGAUAUCAUUAUGUUUCCCCUUUGUCAGGCGAUUGUUGAGAUGUGGUUCCCUUGCGUUGUGUUCUUAUUUGAUAUUAUGGAUGCUUAGGUUGAUGAUUCCUCGGGUUAGGUGUUGUAACAAGUUUAGUCAUAAUUAUGUUUCCCCUUGCCAUGCUAUUGAUGAGUUAUGGUUCUCUUGUGUUGUGUCCUUAUUUGAUAUUACAGAUGCUUAGGUUGAUGAUUAUUCGGGUUAGGUGUUGUAACAAGUUUAGUUAUAGCUGGUGUAGUUAGGUGUUGUAAUAAGUUUAGUUAUAGCUGGGGUAGUUAGGUGUUGUAACAAGUUUAGUUAUAGCUGGGGUAAUUAGAUGUUGUAAUAAAUUUGGUUAUAGUUGUUUCUCCCUUACCGGGAUAUUAUUAAGAUAUCAUUAAUUCCUUACUGUGAUGUUUGUUGAUAUUAUUAUUCCCUUGUUGGGAUUCUUUGUGAUUAUUGUUGGCUUGUAAAUGAAAGCGGAUGGUACGCCUACCACUAGAUGUAAUGAAAUGGGAGCGGGUGGUAUGUCUACCACGAGAUAUAAUGAAAUAGGAGCGGGUGGUAUGCCUACCACGAGACAAAUGAAAUGGGAUCAGGUGGCACGCCUACCAGGAGAUAAAUGAAAUAGGAGUUGAUUGUACGCCUACUAUGAGAUAAAUAAAAUGGGAGCAGGUUGUACGCCUACCACGAGAUAAAUAAAAUGGGAGUAGGUGGUACGCCUACCAUGAGAUAUAAUAAAAUGGGAGCGGGUGGUACGUCUACCAUGAGAAUGAUGAAAUGGGAGCAGGCGGUACGCCUACAACGAUAUAUAAUAAAAUGGGAGCGGGUGGCAUGCCUGCCACGAGAUACAGGAAGUUGAAUUGGGUUGCACGCAUAUAACAAGAUGUGAAAAGAAAGUGAAAUCUGCCUUUGUUUUCCUUAUUCUUGCCGGUGAUUUGAUUUUGAUUCCUUUAUAGUUCUCUUGAUAUUCUGUUUUUACCUGUCAUUCCCUGAAGCAUGUUUCCCCCUUCCAUCCUUACUUGCUUAUACCUGCUUUUCUUUCCACUAUAUAUUAUAUAACUGCACAGGGUUAUUUGAUAGUCUAGUCCUAACAUCGUCACUACUUCGGACCAUGUUGAGAUUGCUGAUUCUAGCUCAUCAGGUGACUCGAUGUAGUCCUGUAGGCAUCUGCAUACCUUGGCGUCUUCUUCUACCUACUAUUCCUGUUUCUUUCAUGCAUUUUCAGAGACAAUAUUAUAUUUAUUUCUUUCAGACCUUAGUAUUCUUAGACCGUCUGUGAAACUGUGACACCAUUUCUGGGUAAUCGAGACUCAAACAAUUGUAUCAGAUAUUCAUAUUCAGAUAGCUUAUUGUAUUUCUUCCAUUUACGUUAAAUUCUGUUAUUUAAAUGUUAUUCCUUCUUAACUGUUAAAGGAUAUAAAAUGGGUAAAAAGGUAAAUUGUUUAAAUAAUUGGCUUGCCUAGCUCACAUUAGUAGGCACUAUCACGACUUUUGAAGAUGAAAAAUAUGGAUUGUGACACAAAUUCAUACCAAAAGUAUUCAAGAAGAGUGACUAAUAUGCUAUAUUUGCUUGUAAUCUAGGAAAAGAUGACCAGUGAAUUUCACAGAGCUAUUCACAGGAUAAACAUCUGCUACAAAUUUGAAAGCCCUUUCUAUGUAAGUUUUACUAUAAAAUUGUGAUAUUUUAUUGUCCUAUUAUAAAUGUAUUAUUUUAGAAGGUUUGGUUUGGUUUUUAUGUGGUAUUCCUUUUUGUAGUUCAUAUUGUCGUCUAAAACCAUUAAUUAUUUAUAUGAGACUUGAAAGAAAUUUGAGAUGAUUAGGACUACAUCUCAUAUUGUCUCGUUAUAAUACAAGAUUAUUUGUUGGAAACACCAUCAAAUUUGACUUACUAAACCCCUAAUAUUUUUUGCAGAAUCAUUCUCUUUUAUUUAUUUCAAAAGGAAUUAUAGUUAUGCAAAUUAAUGCUUCGGAUACAUAUAAAUUUAAGAACAUACUUUGCUUCUCUCUUUUUUGAUCAUUCAGUUCAACAACAACAAUUACUACCCAGUAAUGUGCCACAAAAUGGGUUUUGGGGAAGAUAAUAUGUAGACG